AUGGUGUGGCUGCGGUUUCCUUGCCGGGUGGUCGGUCGUUGGUCCUCGACUAUGCAGCUACUUCGACAAGUGCUGCAGUGGCGGCGGUGUGAGGCUUCUUGGCAGUGCUGCCAAUCCCAUGGAGGUGUGGUGAUGGGCGAAGCGCGGAUGAAAAUUUUGCACGGCUUCUGCCGGGCCGGCGGUGAUGGCACCUGUGGAUGUCAUUCCCCUCCUUGGAGGCAUCGUCGAGCGUGUUCGCCUCAUCCCUCGCGCUCUUGGUGUUGGUGGAUGCCUCCGGGCGAAAGCCUAGAUUCGAUGUUCGGAUCGGCACGAUGGCAGUGUCCUUGACGCCGCUCCUCUGUUAGGAGCAUUGUGUUUGGAGACACGACUGGUUCCUCGUUGCUCUUCUCCGGUGUUCGCCGCUAUCCUUUUCUGACUUCAGUGGCGCUAUGUACGUUGGUCGUCGGUGAAUCCAAGGCGGUGUCUUCCCGGAUUGGAUCGAGUCCUGCCAUUCAUUUGCCACUUCUCUUAAGCGCUCAGGGUGGAUGGUGCGUCGACAAGAGAAGUUCUACGGAAGUGUGGUCUUCGGAGGUGUCCGGCGUCGGUCGAGACGUGGUGCUGUAUAUCAUUUUAGGAUAGGCUUUUUGCAUUGUAGCUUGCCUAGCGGUGGUGUUUGUUUGUGGUCUUGCCCAUGUGGUGUUCGUGCUACACUCCUUGUUUGCAUCGAGCGGGUAGCUUUCUUGUAACUAAAUUCCGCCUUCUAUAAAGAUAUGGUACACUUAGGCGUACUCUCGAAAAAAAAAGAAUUAAGGGCGUGGCCUAUUCUCGGAAAGAAAAACGAUCCGUGCUUCCAUGAGAAUCACUGUGCAAUCACAUAUUUGUUUCCGCGAGAAACUCAUAUAUUUGCUUCCAUGAGCCGUGCUUAUUGGGAAAAAACCGUGCUUCCAUGAGAAGCACAUAUUUUUCUUUCGCGAUGUGCUUCCCGAAAAGGGAAAAAGUUCCAUGCUUCCACGAAAAGCCCAGACUUGCAUCCGCGAGUGCUUCUGGGGAACAAAACUUUGAUUCUCGAAAAGGGGGGAAAAGGUGAAAAACCACAACCAUGCUUCCAGGCUCCUGUUUUUUCCUUACAUUUUUUGUUAUUCGUUUUUUGGUUACCUUUGGGGGUUUUAUCGGUAUUUUUUACUUAGUUUUAUUUCUAGAUUUUUCGUGAUUUUUUCUGUCGAAACAUAUCAACAUGGGAUCAAGUUUCGAAGAUCUCAACGCGAGAAAUCCAGUGAUAAAGACAGUUCAGGAUCACGGUUUAAGAGAUAAACCAUUUUAAAUAAAAAUAUCUAUGAAAAAAUAGAAAACUCUUCGAUUGCGGCAAGUGGCGCACACGAGUAACCUUUUCAGUGAGGUGCCCUUUAACUAGUAGUUUCGAUUUAACAGUCGUUGACAUCAAAUAGUCGAGGAUACGUGUGAAGCGAGGCACAAUUGGCCAGCACAACAGUGUUGUGUAACGAGGCCCAUCGGCUUGCUGGAAGUUUGACUUUCUAUGAUGUUUGUUGCCGCAUGUGGCUGACAAAUCCGCCUGAGGGCAUUUCAUCCCAGUUAUUAUUGAAUUAAAACAUUUUUUCCUCUACCCCACAAAAAAUAUAUUUUUUCCUCUAGUUUUGUUUUGUUUCUUUUUUGGUUUUCUUUCUCUUUUUAAUUUUUUUUCUUUUCACUUUAAAUUGUCAGUUGGUUUAGCUUUUCUUCUUCUUCCGGGUUGAUUUUUAUUCUGCUUUUUUCCUUUCCAUUUUUGUAGUUUUGAUGCAAUUUUUUUUCUAAUAUAUGGUGAACAUUUUUCUCAAAUUGCAUUGAGUUGCAUACACAGUGAUUCUUUUUAAAUAUGCAGUGACCUUUUAUAUUAUACAACAAAAAUUUUUAAAUACACACUAAAAAAUUUAAACACGUAUGGAAUAUUUUGGUUAUUUUUUAUUUCUCAAUAGGUUUUAAAUAUUUAGCUUUGUAAAAAAUUCCAACAACCGUAUUUGAAAGAAAAAGAAUAAAUAAAACAAUCAAGCCAGCUCGCUACAGUGGGCCAGCCUGUGACGACCCGUGUCAUUAUUAGUAUAGAUAAUGACACUGGUCCUUGGAUUAUUUCUUGACAAAAUCUUGUUUUGUCAAAUAAUUAUCCAUGUCAGAGAUACGCAACAGGGAAUAGCCAAAGAUGGUCAUUUAUAUUACAAUACCAUGCCACGAAGGGCUAAAAGUCUCAGGUAGGCUUCUCACAUGUUCACCAAAUUAUUACAUCUCCUAACAUUGGAGCUUCAACUAGCAGUACUACAUAGAUGGUGAUAGAAUGGUUCCUGGAUUACAUAGCUAGAUCAUCAGUUAUUCAUCCCAACCCCCAUAUGUAGCAUCCAGAUCGUACAUAGCACUAGAUGGAUCCACAUCUAUGUCCCCUCUGUAGUUGUAUCCAUCACCAUUGCUCUCCUCACUUGGUCCAGUAGGAUUCUCAUACAAGCUUUGCUCUAAGAAAGAGAUGAUUAAUAGCAAGAGUGAGUACAAAGUACUCAGCAAGCUCAAAUAGAAGAAUGCAGCACUCAUGAUAGCUCAAUAUAAAUCAACAAGUCCUACCUCAACUCAACUCCUGUAAAAUAAACAAAUAAGUAAACAUUUGUUGCAGAAAGUCCAUUUCAAUUUAUAAAAAAGCUAUCAAACACUCGUAUUGCGAGAUAGACCACCAAUAGGUCCCCGUAAUCCCCAAUCCAGGAGACUGGCACGAAUUCAUGUUUUCCUUUAACUCUGCAGAGCUUGUAUCACUUUACCCAUAGAGCUCGAAACCAUAAUUGCCAUAUGCAUUUCCUUAGAUGCGAGACAUGGUUCAGGACAUAAAGUUUUUUCCCAUUAUGUAUAAUAUAUCUCCACCCGGCUAGUGGUCACUAGCCGUUGUGUCGGGUUUCGGAACCCGCACUCCACCAACGCUUACACUACAAGAAAUAUGUCAACUUAUGACCUUCUGUCAGUGACCCUCAAAGAAUUGGUCACAAAUUUAUGACCAUUUUAGACCAAUUGGUCAAAAACUGUUCAGGGGGCUUCAAACCCUAAACCAUUGCGACCAUUUUGGUCAGAAAGGUCGUAAUUUCCUUACACAAAAUGGUCACAAAGCAAACAGUGCUAGUCCGCUGCCUUAUUUCUAGUUGUUAAUGACCAAUAUAGAUGGUCAUAACCUUGUAGAUUGUGGUGGGUUGUGAUGACUAGGCGCCAUCUCAUCAGUUUUGCCUAUGUGUCAUGUCCAUGUGGCAGUUUUUGCCCUAUGUUGUGAAGCAACCUAUAUUUCUAUCAUUCCCAAAAUUCCCAAAAAAAUCUCAUAAAUUCUUUGGGUCAUAUCUUCAUCAAAUAUGUAAAAAUCCUUCCUUGCCUAGUUCAAAACUAAUUCAACAAUAUUCAUUUUCCUAUUAUGUUCACAACAACACUUUAUGAAGGAAGUGCUAUUUAUAUAUUCUUGAUUGCCCUACGAAUUUUUGGGCACUCUUUCCUAUCCAAAUCAUUACCGCAUAACAAAAUUCAGCUCCAUUUGCCUAGCAAAUCUUCCUCGGCAAAUUUCCAAAGUUUUUGUCCACCUAGAAGCAUUGUGAAGGAAGUACCUUUUUUAUAUCUCUAAAUGACAUGAAAUUUAUACAGUUUCUUCAUAUGCCCAAAUUAUCACCCUCCUCCAAAUUGCAGCUCAGUCAAAUCAUCGAUGUGAGCCCAGGUUCAAUUUAUAUUUUAUGGCCAAAUUGGCAUGUUGCAAAGCAAGUGUUAUAUAGACCCCUCCUAUUACCCUCAAACUUUUCGGGCACUCUUCCAUACCCAAAUCAUUACCACAUGAUAAUAUUCAGCUCAAUUUUCCUAGUAAAUCUUUCUCGGGAAAUUUCCAAAGUUUCUACCUCGAGAGAAGCUUUGUGAAGUGAGUACUAGCUAGGCUUACCCAAAUGAUCUGAAAAUUGACCAGCGCAUGACCAUACCUAAGUAACUUACCUACACCAAUUUUGAGCUCAUUUCAUUCAUCCAAUCUCUCUCACUAGUUUUCCCAAGUUUCUAUCCAUAGAAGAACAUUGUGAAGGAAGUACUACUUUGGCAUGUCCAAAUGGUAUCAAUUUUCUACAAUGCUUUCCUAUGCCCAAAUAACCAUCCUCCACAAAAUUUCAGCUCAAUCCAUUCAUUAUUUUGAGCCCAGCUUCAACAUUCAUAUUUUUGUCCAGCGUGGUACUUUGCAAAGCAAGUACCACCUAGGAUCCUCCUUUUGAGCUAAAAAUUUGUGAAGACAUUCUCCUUAGUAGAUGAUCAUCCUCAGCCAAAACUCACGCCCAUUGGCCAUGUGCAUUUCCCGUACCGCUAAUCAAACACUUGGCUGCUAGUUCAUGUUUGAGCAUCGAUCGGUCUUCUCGUGAGUAUCUUAUGUUGUAAUUUUCUUCCUAGCACCAACCUGGGGAGUGCCUAACCCACUAGACAUGCCUAAGCCGCCCAGAACACAUGGCAACAUUACGGUCACGCGGUGACCAUGCGACGGGCAUGCGAGUUUACGCGCUCUAGAGUUGAGGCCCUCGGCCACCACCCAAACCUCGACGUAUCGUCACCAAACCAUAUAUUUAUGAUUAAAUAGGUCCUUAUGUAACUAGAAAUGAUUUUUGGAAAAAAUAAAUAGCAAACUAUGAGGCAGCUGCAGUUCAAAUUUGACCCGCUUCCAACUGAAUCGGCGGAAAUUUGUCUUUUUCACGAGAGGUGGAUCAAAAAAUUUUACACCCAACAUUUUUGUCAAUUGUGCAUUAAAUAUGUCCUAGUAUUUUAUAAAAAUGAUUCGGUCCAAUUUUGCAACAAUUAUUUGGUAGUUCCUUCACAAAAAAACCUCCUUUCGGGCACUCGAAAAAUGGAAAAUGGUUUUUUCGUCCAACGAAAAUGAAAACUUCCUUAGGCAACAUUGUUUUCCAUUCCAAUAUGCACCCUUUUGCACAAUAUGAGAUCAUUUGAACAAACUAUGUCAUGAAUGUGGCCAUAAGAUUGAUCAUUUGGCUUGAAAGCCAUUGAUCUCCACACAUGAUAGCUCGUUUCUGAGAACACUUUUUAAAAAUAAUUGCCGUAUUACAAGUCUGUUAUUUUUCCUAGUAACUUGGCCACAUAUGAUGACACAACGCGAAGUUUUCCCAAUUUUUUGAUUUUUUUGAAUUUUUUAUACCCGUUUCAAAAUGCGGUCAAAACGGCGGGAAUGACCGUUCCUAGCUAGUGGUUGAAUCUUGGAAUUUUUUUGGUGUUUCUCUGAUUAAAUAGAUACUUAUGUAGCUAGAAAUGUUUUUUGAAAAAAUAAAUAGCAAACUAUGAGGCAGCUGCAGUUCAAAUUUGACCCGCUUCCAACUAAAUCGACGGAAAUUUGCCUUUUUCACGAGAGGUGGAUCAAAAAAUUUUACACCCAACCAUUUUGUCAAUUGUGCAUUAAAUAUGGCCUAGUAUUUUAUAAAAAUUAUUCGGUCCAAUUUUGCAACAAUUAUUUGGUAGGUCCUUCACAAAAAAACCUCCUUUCGGGCACUCGAAAAAUGGAAAAUGGUUUUUUCGUCCAACGAAAAUGAAAACUUCCUUAGGCAACAUUGUUUGCCAUUCCAAUAUGCACCCUUGUGCACAAUAUGAGAUCAUUUGAACAAACUAUGCCAUGAAUGUGGCCAUAAGAUUGAUCAUUUGGCUUGAAAGCCAUUGAUCUCCACACAUGAUAGCUCGUUUCUGAGAACACUUUUUUAAAAUAAUUGCCGUAUUACAAGUUUGUUAUUUUUCCUAGGAACUUGGCCACAUAUGAUGACACAAUGCGAAGGUUUCCCAAUUUUUUGAUUUUUUCGAAUUUUUUAUACCCGUUUCAAAAUGCGGUCAAAACGGCGGGAAUGACCGCUCCUAGCUAGUGGUUGAAUCUUGGAAUUUUUUUGGUGUUUCUCUGAUUAAAUAGAUACUUAUGUACCUAGAAAUGUUUUUUGAAAAAAUAAAUAGCAAACUAUGAGGCAGCUGCAGUUCAAAUUUGACCCGCUUCCAGCUGAAUCGACGGAAAUUUGCCUUUUUCACGAGAGGUGGAUCAAAAUUUUUACACCCAACCAUUUUAUCAAUUGUGCAUUAAAUAUGGCCUAAUAUUUUAUAAAAAUGAUUCGGUCCAAUUUUGCAACAAUUAUUUGGUAGUUCCUUCACAAAAAAACGUCCUUUCGGGCACUCGAAAAAUGGAAAAUGGUUUUUUCGUCCAACGAAAAUGAAAAGUUCCUUAGGCAACAUUGUUUGCCAUUCCAAUAUGCACCCUUGUGCACAAUAUGAGAUCAUUUGAACAAACUAUGCCAUGAAUGUGGCCACAAGAUUGAUCAUUUGGCUUGAAAGCCAUUGAUCUCCACACAUGAUAGCUCGUUUCUGAGAACACUUUUUAAAAAUAAUUUCCGUAUUACAAGUUUGUUAUUUUUCCUAGGAACCUGGCCACAUAUGAUGACACAAUGCGAAGGUUUCCCAAUUUUUUGAUUUUUUUUGAAUUUUUUAUGCCCGUUUCAAAAUACGGUCAAAACGGCGGGCUUGACCGUUCCUAGCUAGUGGUUGAAUCUUGGAAAACUUUUGGUGUUUCUAUGAUUAAAUAGAUACUUAUGUACCUAGAAAUGAUUUUUUGUAAAAAAUAAAUAGCAAACUAUGAGGCAGCUGCAGUUCAAAUUUGACCCGCUUCCAGCUGAAUCGGCGGAAAUUUGUUUUUUUCACGAGAGGUGGAUCAAAACUUUUUACACUCAACCAUUUUGUCAAUUGUGCAUUAAAUAUGGCCUAGUAUUUUAUAAAAAUAAUUCGGUCCAAUUUUGCAACAAAUAUAUGGUAGGUCCUUCACAAAAAAACUCAUUUCGGGCACUCGGAAAAUGGAAAUUGAAUUUUCUGUGCAUAGAAAAUGAAAACUCCCUUUGUCAAUGUUGCUUGCCAAUCUAAGAUGUAAACUUGUGCAAAAUAUGACAUCAUUUAAACAACUAUUUUAUAUGUCUUUCACCAAAAAACUCAUUUUGAGCAUUGAAAAAUGGAAUGAAAAAUUUGUAUGUAAUCAAUCAUGACCAAUUUAUAUGGUCAAAAGAUCUUCAAAUUAUUUGGUGCGCUCUGAUUGGUCCAUAGGUAUAUCACGCGGAUCAUGCGUCAACCACCGUUGGAUGCUUCUGGAUCCAACAACAGCCCUCGCCCCCUUACCCUCUCACCCAAACCCUAACUUCUGGAUCCCCACCUCUCCCCUGAUCCACUCUCCCCUCUCGUCCCACAGCCGCCACCCCCCAACCCUCUCGCUCCUUCUCAAUCUCUCGAUCCCCAACCACCCAGCCGCCGCCGCCACCAUCCUCCUUCCUCUCCCCCAACCCCGGCCGCCGUUAACCCCUCACCUUCCCUUCUCUCCCACGGCUGCGGUCGGAUCCGUGCUCCCCCCUCGCUCGUGACCUAGACCUAGCCGCAUGGCACGGCCAUGGCCAUGGCGGCGGCCAGAUCCACCCCCUCCCCUGCUCCAUUCCCUUGACACCCGGUGGUCAUCCCCCAUUAGGCCACCCGCAGCAGCUCACCCGCCCCUCCUCCUCCUCCCCGACGCCGAUGCGCUCGUUCCCCGCCUUCCCCCGCCUGAACCGCCUCCUCCUCCCUGCCGAUCCUUCGCUUCCCCGUGGCCCUAGGCCAGCAUCGACGGUGCUCCCUCCCAGACCCGGCAGCGCCAUCGUCGAGGUCAAGGGCAUCUUUGACCCGGUCCUUGACGGAGGGCAGGCUCGAGCGUCGGGAGAUGACCUACGCGUGCUUCUACGCGGCCCAGAUCGAGCAAGGCAGUGGUACGCAUCCCUGCUCCUCCCCUUCUCUUCUCCUGCAUCUCGCCCCUCCCCCCUCCCUAAAUCUGAUGCAUGCGCCCAUUUUCUUGCAUGUUCGUGAAGAGACCCGAUCUGGUUUUGUGAAGGAAGGGGCCGGCCAUGGAGAAGAUCCCACGGGCAUCAGAUCAUCCAUGGCGGCCUAGGAGGAGCACCACUGGUUCAGUUUCUUCACUUGCUCCACCGGUUCAGGUGAGUCCCUCCACUUAUCCUCAUUUGGAUAAUCCCAAAUCUCCGCUCUCUUACUCACCUCGUCCGUUCUCCCUCCCAGAUCCGUCAUCACUUGAGCACCAGGAUGUCGGGUUGACUACUAUCGACGCCAACGGCCGCCAACGGCCUCGUCAUCAAUGACCACACCAACUGGCGUUGCCUCUCCCAUUCCAUGCCUGUUUAGUAGCUCUGCGUGGUCAUGUUUACAGUUGCAUGCAUAUGUUAACUGGUAUUAGAUAAAUUUUAAGAGACAAUGUCAUUUGGUACUCAAGGUUACCUAAAAUUACUCUGCCAUUGUUAACUGAAUGAACAUAAACAAUACUACAUGAGUUCCACUGGUUAGCUAGCUGUUACACAACUCUGCUCUAUGUCAUGAAUUUGGAUGAAGAAAAUUUGGUUGCUGGCCUAAAAAUUAACUGGUCUGUAAUUUGGUUGCUGCCUAAAGACGUUAAGAUUGCUGUGUGGUGGGGGGUUUCGUGUGCUUUUUCUGUUUUGAGGCGAAUGGUGAUGUAGUUAAAAUGUUGGGAUUCUUAAGGCAGGCCUCCAGUUCUGCGUACAUUUGUGCUUGAGUUGGAACCAACACUUGCUCAUAAUAUAAACACAACUGUGUGCACAGUUUAGCUAAUUAUACUAAGGGUGAUUAAGAGUGCACUGCACUGGAAUGGAUUAUUGGCUGUGAUACUUUUUUUGUAUUAAUCUACAAACACGUGUACAGUGCAUUAUUGCUAGUUUGCUUAGAUAUGUUCUGUUCUCAUCUUGGAUGAGCAGUGUUUUCUGGGCCAAUAUAUGUACCAGUUUAUGUACUUCUGCACUUGAAACAUCAACAUGUAUUUUUCCUUGUUUUCUGGAAUAAUUGGUAAACUUCAUAUUAUGCUAGGUUUGAUUUGAUGCGGAUGCGAAUUUGGAUCUCCAUCGCUGUAGGUUUCCUGUUCGUAUAAGGGUGGGCUCAUCGAGGUGUGCGGUGGUAGGCUCGCUCGGCCCCAGCGUCUUCUAUUGAACGGACAUGCCACCUCUUUGGCGUCGGCUACAUGAGAGCCAUGGUGAGCUCUCUUCUCGAUCUAUGGUGAGCCAAUACUUAAAAUUUCAACAACUAGUAUACAUCUAUGGUGAGCCAGUUAGUAAUCGUGGCUGAGUCAUCGAUACUCACCUAGCAGCCACUUGUUGGCCACUUGAUUCAGAGUUUCAGACCAUAUAGCCACGCUUUAGAAGGCUGUAUUUGGUAAUCACCCAAAAUGCCUCUCUUUUUUUAGCUGAUGAAUCGUCCUACAUGCACAUUUUGCUUGAUGUCCGUGUUUAUCCAGAUUCCAGAAUGUUUGAUUGCAACAUUCUAUUGAAGAUAGAAGUAUAGGACCAGUGUACAUGAUCUGGAACCUUUUGGUUUUGAUCAGUUGCUGCUGCUGAUUUAAUGCCUAUGCUCACACUGUUGUUGAUUAAAUGCUUAUGUUGUUGCUGCAUGCUUAUGCUACUGAUUCAAUGCUUAGGAAUUGAUUGAAUUGAACCUGUUGUAAUCCUUCCUGAUGCAGUGUCCAAGAUAUUCAGUUAACUAUGUAGAUCAUGUACUGUAUUGUUAAUCACCAGUUAUUGUUUCCUUUCACUGUGUCAUCGUGCCGGUUACUACUACUGUUCCUACAUAAUCACAAGCGUGGAUGGAUGAUUAUCUCAGAUCAGAUGUUGCUAGAUUACUUUCUUAGAUUUCUUUUGUCACCAAGCCACACAGAUCAUCUAGUUAGAUAGAAUCCGCUACGCUAGGGUGAUGAAUGAACGAACAAACAAUAAUAGGAACAUGGGCACCAGGUUUUAGACGGCUUGUGACUUUGUGGUUGCAUCAAGCCCGCCUUGUACGCCCGACGAGUUUAUCCUGUGUAUUUUGUCUUGCUAGACGAGUUAUCCAGCAAUACUAGUGCAUAGUAGAAAAUUAUCAUAGAUCCUGGCUGUAACCUGCUUUUGUGCUUGUAACUUUGGCCCACAUGAUUUUGUGGGGAUUUGGUACCAGACUAGAGGUAGAGGCUUGACAAUUUCUUGUUGUUUCAGUCAAGUGCUUGAUAGAUAGCUGUCUCAUAUGCAUUUUCCAUUCCUAAUGGUGCUUUUUAAUUUCCUUGCCAGGUCAAAUAAAAGAUGUUGUUCUCGGUGGAGUUGCACUUGAGGAUGAGCACAGAGAGAAAUUUAAUCAAAUCCAAAAGGUAGGUUCUUUGUUCUAAUCAGAUGUUGGCAGAUUCUAUUUUGUUGUGCAUAUGCCAAGUGUGUCUACCUAAUUGUAAACAUAAUUGCAAUAAUGUAUAUAUGUUGACAGUCUAGUAAAAACAAACUUGUUGUGCCUGGGUUUGUGGAUCUUAAAAAAAUCAUCUAUGCUUUCCUUACUCAUACAAAACGCCCAACUGUUGUUCUUGUUAAUACAAGCGUGCAUACCAUCUGCACCUUCACCAAACAGAAAAGGCUCUAGCCACAUAUUCCUCUUUACUGAAAACUCAUUGUUCUUUUCUAAACUAUUGCAAAAAUCGAGCAGUGGUACUGAUUAUAUAAAUUUUUUAUUGUCUUGGUAGCUUCACUCGUGUUUGCCACUGAUUGGUUUCUGCUUAACCCAUGUGUAGAGAGAGUACUAAACAGCAUGAUUUCAAUCACCUUGUAUACACUAGCAGCUUGCUUACACAGUUGUCACUUUUGCUUGUGGUAGCCAUUAUGUGGUUGAAUCAUGUUUGUGUCUACUAAUCAUCAGUUAAUAGUAUUUGGCUUCUUGUGAUGGUCUGGGACUAUUUUAGGGUGAUGAGGAUAUGCUUUCUGAUUUAUAGUUACUAAUCUGUGGUCUGGUGUCAUAUUAUGGUCUAAUAUUUUUUGUUUUGACUCUUUUUCUGGUGCGAGGAAAGCUGUGAGUAGACGUCAACGAUGCCUACUUGUUUGGCUGCUACAGUGAUGCAUGCGCCGGUCAAGCAAGCACACAUGCAUAUACGUUCCUACUAUAUUCCUGCUAUAUACAUACAUGUGUAAAUGUAUUUAUGAGAGAUGUGUUAUGUAAACCUGCGAGAUGUGUUAUGUGAUGUGAUAUGAUGGAUGAUUUGAAUUCGACAUGGAGUUUUCCUGAUUUGAAUAUGAAACAACUUUGUCCAAACAUUUCUUUCAAAAUCUGAGAUCUAAUAUUGGACAAAUAAUUGGGCUGGAAAAGGCAACAACUGAACAAGCAUUGGACUGUUUAAAAAGCGAAACAAAAAAACCUUAGAAAAUAAAAAAAAGAAAUAUACUGCAAAAAAGGCCGAGGCCCCCUAGUAUGGAAAAACCUAACAAAAAGGCCGAAUUGUAGGGUAUGGCCCAUGCUGAAAUUAAUAGGAAAAAAUACAUUAAAAAGGCCAAAUUGUUGGGCUCGGCCCAUGUAGAAAAUCGAAUUGGACCGGGCUGAAUCUUGUGCCACGUCAGAUUGCCACGCUGGAUGCCUACGUGGCCUGGGGAGGUUGCUAGUGACCAAAACGCCACAGUAGACGUAUUUUGGUCAUAAACGUUUGCGACCAUUCCAGAAAAAAGGUCGCUAUAGUCAGUUUACGAUGCCCAGCUUUUGACCUUAUGUUUUUGGUCACAAAAAGGUCAUAAAUGGAAAUUUGUGACCUUUCAGUGACCAAUAGUGGUGGUCAUAAGUUGACAUAUUUCUUGUAGUGUUAAUAUAUAGCGUUUGCUAAUGCACCCAUCCGACAUUAGCGUGGGAACUCAUCGCCCAUCCUACUACUACUUACCCAUGUGGAGAGUAUAAUAACUUGAUGGGUAAUGGGCUCAACCCGUCUUAGACGAGACCAUGGUUGAUACGGUUGUAGUACGGCGCAUAAAACGAGUGAAAGUUAUUUAAUCCUAAUAUCAUAGCCAUAUGUAGAGGGCCCCACCUCCCAGCAUGUCCAUCCAGGGCACCCUUUACCCACCAAAUAAUUAUAAAUAAAUAAAUAAAUCAAUGGAUUAGCUGCUCCAUCAGCUAACCCAACUCUUUGUCAACAGUCACUCCACACAAUUUAUUACCAAAACAUUUAUGCAAGUUGAUGAUAAGAUAGAAGAGAAUAGUCUUUUUUCUUCAGAGAAAGUUCUACUCAGCAUGAUUAAGGAGAGCUUGCCUGAGUUCUUGUACUCAGACCCGAACUCAAAUUGCUUCCGUGGCGCUUCCUUCUCCGGGUCUCGUUCGCUUCCUGCGAUUCGGAAAAAAUAUAUAUACCGAUACUAAGUCGAGUGAAUAACUAAAAUAAAAAUACGCCGGUGCAGUGUGGUUAUCCUACGAUCACCAAAGUUUUAAGCUUGUAAAAUCUUUAUACAAGAUAUGUUAUAUUUACCAGUGUAGUGUGUAACUAGCAUUAUUCACAUGUCAUCUACGUAAUUAACUAAUUAGUACUAGUAGCCUGGGAGUGUACGUGACAUUUCAACUUAGGCUAAGGGCGUGUUCGGCAACUCCGCAGCUUCCAGCUUCCGAGAAAUCUGCCGUGGAGCAGCACCGAACGAUUUUGCUCGAGCCAAAUCACAGUGCAAAUUCCAAGGAGUUGAGGAAGCUGCCUUUUCCUGGCUCUACAAAAACGUAGAAGCUGGAGUUGAGUGUUAUUAUGAGGUGCUGCCACCGCUAAGUGACCUUUGCGUAUCGGUUCGAUUGGUCUGUCCCCCGAACAGCCCAUGUCUUCCCUCCGUACCCCUCCAUCACGGCCGCUGUACAUUUUUUAAGGAGAAAAAUAGGAGCUGCUGCAUGCCUACCGAGCUGGACUUUGGUUGUCAGUCCAUGCUAGCGAUGAGAAGCUACCAGGCGUGGCGAACGCGUCCGGAAUCGCCAGGUGAAGUGAGAAGCUAGCUUUAGAAGCUGGAUUUGUGAAGUUUUAAGAAGCUAGAUAGAUUCAGAACACGCCCUAAGUGGUUCUUUCUCUCUCCUAGUACUAUUACCCAUUCUGAACCGAACCAACACACACUAGUACUAGUCCAGCCAGAACACAAGUAGUACACGCAUGCCCUCCUCUGUUUCUUCUACUCCUUGCCCAGACCGAGCACGCCGCCAGCGACGGGAAAGAUGCUGCUCCGCCGCUGCCAGAUCCUCCAAUCUCUCUCUCUCUCUAUGAUGUAAAUCCCCAUAUUAUCCCCAUGAAUUUCAACCUCAACUCUCUAAUCCCCUUGUGUGUAUGUUCUGUUUGGCUUGUAGGUCAAACCCUAUUGGGGAUGCUUCCCCUGCUCCAGAUUGGAGUGGUCGGCUUUGGUGGCCGCGGUGCCGUUGGGUGGUGCAGGUCAAGUGUGCGGCCAUGGAGUAGAUCGAGCAUAUGUGCAGGUUAGUGAUGCCUUGUUCCUAUCCCUAAUAUUUUUUUAUGGUUAAAGUUCUCAGAUUUAGUAAAUUAAUUUAGUCUCAUGUGCAUGUGUGUGUACUGAACUAAUUCCUCUUGUGCAAGAUGUUGGUGUACUAAUGAUGCACAUUAUCUUGCUCCAUUUUAUUUUACUUGAUUAAGGUAUUAUCCAUGCUUUCUUGUACUGUUGAUUUUAAGAUCUGUGAUAUGAUACUACUGGGAUGAUUUAGCUUUUGUGUGCAUCUGUGAAGAAGUAGUGAGGAAUAUUGGGGGUGCAUCUGGGUUGGGCUUCUUUGUGAGUGUGAGUGCUGAAGGAAUGACAGAAGAAGAAGAACUCACCUUUCUUCUUUUGCCUUCUCCGCUGUUCCUACUAGUGCUGCUCCUACUUCCAGAUCCCAGUCCAGUAGGCUAACUUCUUGCUCCAGCCUUCCUCCUUCGAUCUACUAUGAUUUCUCAGGUCACCAUCUCUACUUAUUGUUCUUGGAUCUUUGCGGGUUGCAGAUAGAAAGAUGAAGACAGUGGGAGGAAGACAAGCUGCUGGUCUGGCUAUUUGGGAAGAAUGGAGACGUGUGAAGUCUUGGGAGUGGCUUGCUCUGCUCUUUCCCCUCUUAAUAUCAAAAAUCCAUCUCCCUUGGCUGGUAUGGCUGCCCAUUCCUUCUGUUGCCUUUGUGGAGCCUUUCUAUUGGCUAGGAGUUGCAGCCCAUGCCUAGACCAACUGUUGGUCAAUUGACUAUAUAUAGUAGCACUAUUCUGAUCCUCGGAUCAGAAUAGUUAUUUGGAUCACGGUCGACCCUAUAUAGGCGUGUGGAGGUCUUCCCGAACUCCUGAUCCGGUAGGAAAAGAAGAAAACAACUUACUGGCAUCCUCGACCUCCCACCCCGCGCCGCCCCACCCAUCGAACGCGCCCCCACCACAGGCUCAGCCCGCACCGACGCCCCUGCGACUCCGGGCGCUGCCGCCCCUGCAACCCCGGGCGCCGCCGCACUCGGCAACCUCGCGAGUCGCCGUCCCCUGCAAUCUCGGGCGCCGNNNNNNNNNNNNNNNNNNNNNNNNNNNNNNNNNNNNNNNNNNNNNNNNNNNNNNNNNNNNNNNNNNNNNNNNNNNNNNNNNNNNNNNNNNNNNNNNNNNNNNNNNNNNNNNNNNNNNNNNNNNNNNNNNNNNNNNNNNNNNNNNNNNNNNNNNNNNNNNNNNNNNNNNNNNNNNNNNNNNNNNNNNNNNNNNNNNNNNNNNNNNNNNNNNNNNNNNNNNNNNNNNNNNNNNNNNNNNNNNNNNNNNNNNNNNNNNNNNNNNNNNNNNNNNNNNNNNNNNNNNNNNNNNNNNNNNNNNNNNNNNNNNNNNNNNNNNNNNNNNNNNNNNNNNNNNNNNNNNNNNNNNNNNNNNNNNNNNNNNNNNNNNNNNNNNNNNNNNNNNNNNNNNNNNNNNNNNNNNNNNNNNNNNNNNNNNNNNNNNNNNNNNNNNNNNNNNNNNNNNNCCUCCCGCCGCCACCCCCCAUCCCCAACACCUCCUCUCUGGCCCGCCUCCCGCCGCCUCCUCUCCUUCUUCUCGGAUGCAGCAACAUCCCUGCCAAUACACACCGCUUCCCAAAUCCUCCUGACGACCGAGGCCCGGCCAACCACCCUCCGUGGACUACCUGUGCUGGCACCGCCGCGAAUCCCCACCACAGCAUCGCCCCACCGCACAGCAGAUCCCAUGCAGGUCUGCCCCCAUGCUCCUGCAGGUCGACUGCGCCACCGCACGAAGUUCACCGACCAGAUGCUUUGGCUGGAUCUGUCACUGGUGCGUCGCCUCGGUUAAUCUCCACCGCCGCCCCUACAGCUCCCCAAUUUCGGCCGACCUCGGUGUCGUCGAGCUCCCUUCCCCAUCGGGCUAGGCCUCAUCAUCCCGCAUGCAGCCUCGCCGUGGCCAAGAGCAAUGCCAAGCCACUGAAUCCCCACGCGACGCUAACUCCAUCUUAGUCACAGCCGCGCGAGGCCCGGCUAGACAGCAGCCCACAUGGCGUUAGUGUUCGCACCAGGAACACGCAUGUUGCGGUUGUAGAAUCUUCCUAGGCUGAACUCCUCCGGCCGUUCAACUCUGCAUCUUCGCGUCAUUCAGUUUGAGGAGCUCGACGAGUAUGAUUUAUCAGAGGAGAAACCCCAGUCUCGCUUUAAUUCCAGUGAAUUUAGAUCAUUUUCUACUGCUUCUACUGAUGCGCUCCGCUCAACUCUUCCUUCUGCCGAAAGUGUAGCUGUGUGUGGAUUUCGUUUGGUGUCAUGGGAUCGAAUGGGGAAAGAUAAAGGACACGUGGGUGGUGAGGAGAUAGACUAGAAGAUGUGGUGUAGAAAAGAAAGAACGUGUGCACCAAUAAGUCUUGCUUUUUGCAUGUGUGAUUACGUGUUGUUCUUUCUGUAGUUCUUAUCCGCACAGGGGAUGCUCGGCCAAGGGAGAAACCGAGCGGCGCCUGAGCUCCAGCUCCAUGGCCAUGCUCUGCCACUGCAAUCACUGUUUUGGUUGACCUUCUCGGGAGGUCUCCUCGACCUUCGUCAAUGACAGAAAUCGUCAAGGACUGAGAUUCACAAGCCUGGGAUUAUUUUUUCAUUGCCUUGUUUGACCCGCUUGACUACCAACUAUGGAUUUUAGCAAGCAAAAAAUGGAUGUUGUGAGAGAGGCUCAUGGUGUAUUUACAUGAGCAAAUACACACAAAAAAUAUUGUUUUGUGAAUUAAAAUAAUUCUUUCAAUCCAUUACAAAUUUGGAACAAAAAUGCUCUACACUAAAAAGUUUUUCCUAUUCAACAACUUUUCAAAGGUGUAUAAAUAUUUUUAUUCUAAAACAAAAUGGUGCAUGUUGUUUGAAACAAAAUCUUAACCAUUAUGUUUUAGAAAUUCAUGGUUUAGAUAUAAAUGCGAAGUUCACGUGGACCAUAUACUGAAGAAAUUCAUUAAUGAAAAAAGGACCGUCUUGGCCAUUUCAUUGACAACAAAAAAUUCCUAAAAAUGUCGUGACAAAAAAACAAAUAUUAGAAAAUGGAAAAAACUAUAAUUUUGUUUUGUAAAAAGUUAGAGCGGGUUGAUGUCUAUAAAAACUCAUAUUUUUUCAUUACUAAAGCGAAACAAAGAAAAGUCCAAAGAGAUAACUUCCGGAAGUUCACGUAGUACAUGGUGUGUGUUUCGUAUGAGAAAAAUACAAUAAUAACACAAAUUCUAAAAGUUUUGGUUCUAGAAGUUCAAGUGCUCGGCCCGGAAAACUUCAAAAAUUCUUCUAAAAGAGGUUCACCAUGUGUUUAGAUGUCCAAAAACAGAUACAAAAUAUGUUGUUUUGGGUGUUUUAAAAUAAUUCUCUCAAACCAGAGAGAAGUUCAAAGUGAUAAUAACCGGAAGUUCACGUGCUGCAUGAUGUGUGUUUCGUAUGGAAAAAAUACAAUUAAAAGGUAAAAAAAUGUUGCUAGAAGUUCAAGUGCUCGGCCCGAGAAAAAUCAUAAAUUCGUGAGAGAGAGGUUCACAAUGUAUUCAAAAACUUUCCAAAAUGUAUAUCUUAUGCUCUAUUCCAAAGGGUAUAUCACACGCUCUAUUCCGAAAAACGGUUAAAACAAAUUGGUGUAUGUUGUUCAGAAUUGAUAUUGCAGGAUGUCCGACCUUCAAUUACAUAUUUUAAAAAUGGCAAAAAAUGGCAUCCGACCUUCAAUUGCGUGUAAUUCGACGUACACACAAAAACGUGACAAAAGUUCAUAGUGAAAACAACGAGAAGUCCAAGUACUGCAAGGAAUGCAUUUUCAGUUGAGAAUAAAAUUAUAUAAAAAUAAAAGCUUAAAAGGUUUGUUAAAAGAAGUUCAAUUGCUCUGUGCGGGAAAGUUCAAAAAUUAUUGCAAGAGAGUUUCACCUUGUAUUUCCAUAUUCAAAAACACAUAAAAAUUAUUUUUUUUGUGUUUUAAAAUAAGUCUCUCAAUUCACAAAGAAGUUCAGUUAUUAUUUGGGAAGCAAUAUGAUUUCAAAAAGAAGAUAAAAAAAUCAAAUUACAAAAAUGGAAAAGGUUCAUGUACUACAUGGUGUGUGUUUAGUAUGAGAAAGAUAAAUUAAAAAGGCAAGGUGAACUUUUUUGUUGUUAUAAGUUCAAGUCCUCGGUCGGAGAAAGUUAAAAAAAUUAUUGUGAGAAGGGUUUGUACAAAAAGAAAAUCAUUUGUGUAACACUGACGAAUGAAUGAGAUAAUUACAAACGAAAAUAUGUCACAGAAGUUCAACGUGAAAACAACACGAAGUUCAACUACUACACUGAAUGAAUUUCAGAUGAAAAACUUUUAAAAUCAUCGCGAGUAUGAAAAAAUGAUGAACGGGAAAAUUGUGUGUUUACAACAGCUUUCCAUCGGUAUAUCACUUGCUCAAUUCCGGUAAGUGGUUGGGGAGUUACGGGUAAAAAACAACACAUGAAAAACAUAGUGAAGUUCAAAAAGAACUGCUCCAGAAGUUCAACCUCUUCACGAAGUGCAUUUUCGGAGACUCUGUUUUUCCGAUGAAGGCAGAACGCAUGAUCGCAGAAGUUCAGGUUGAUAAACCGCCAGAAGUUCACGUACUACACGGUGUGCAUUUUGUAUUAAAAAGAAUAAAAAUGCAAAGGCUAAAUUUGUUGUCAUUAUAAGUUCAAGUACCCCGUCGGAGAAAGUUACAAAAAUUAUUGUGAGAGAGGUUUGUACAACAAGAAUAUCAUUUGUGUAACACUGACGAAUGGAUGAAAAAAUUACAAAUAAAAUUACGUCACAGAAUUUCAACGUGAAAACAGCAGGAAGUUCAACUACUACGCUGAAUAAAUUUCAGAUGAAAAACUUUUAAAAUCAUCACGAGUAUGAAAAAACGAUCAACACGGGAAAGUUAUGUGCUUACAGCAGCUUUCCACUGGUAUAUCACUUGCUCAAUUCCGGUGAGUGGAUGGAGAGUUACGAGCAGUGGAUGGAGACCUACGAGCAAAAAAAUCACGUGAAAAACAGAGUGAAAUUCAGGUACACGCGCCAAGAAGUUCAAGUUCUUCCCGCGAUGCAUUUUCGAAAAAUCUGUUUCGCGAUAAAGGCAGAACGCAUGAUCCCGCCGUUUUCGAAAUUACUUCAAAACGGCUAGGAAUCAUAGAAAACCAUCAACAUGAAAUAGUUUCACAUUUUCCGUAGCUUUUCAGGGUAUAUUAUUUGCCCCAUUCCGAUAAAGUUUGUAGAAAUUACGGUGAAAAUACAUUUUUCGCCAUUUUCGAAACUGACUUAAAAGCGUAAAGAAUUGGGAGAAACAAUACAUACCAAAAAGUUUUGCAUUUGUUCAAGCUUUCCAACGCCAUAUCAUUUGCUGCAUUCGGACGCACGAUUAAAAAAUUAGCUCGAAAAUACGAACUCGGUAGGACUUGGACCAUUUUCUAAAUUACUCUUAAACCAUUCAAAAUUAGGAAAAAAAACUUUCAAAAUGAAAAAGUAGCGCAUUUCAUAAGCUUUCCAACACCGUAUCAUAUGCCUCCAUUGGAUUAGCUGUUUAGAAAUGACAUCGAAAAAACGAACUCAGCUGUUCGGUUUACGAAAUUUUACGUUUUUUUAAAUUACUCUUUAACCAUAGGGAUUUUAGAGAAAACUUUCAACAUGUGGAAGGAGCGGUUUUGCAGCAGUUUUCCAACGCCAUAUUAUAUGCCUCAUUCCGAUAAACGGUUUAGAAAUGCUAUCGAAAAUACAAUUCACAUUUUUUAUGCGAAGAAAAAACAGUUUUCAAAACUGCUCUUAAACCGCUUAUAUUUUGCUAAAAAUUUAAGUUGGGUCAUGAUAUUGGCGUCCAUAGCUUUCCAACGGUAUAUCGCAACCCCAUUUGGCAAUGUUGGCGGAAGUUCAACCUAGUUCACAGGGAAGUUCAACGUACUACUAGCGGGGCAGGUUAGGUUGUGAUCAGAAUAUUAUUCUGAUCCCGUGAUGAGAAUAGUGUAUUACAAAUGCAGAGAUGUGUAUAUAUAUAGGGCACGUGAUGGUGGUGGUCAAAUGUGUAUCUCCAAUGUGUCCUGCUGUCCUAGUUAACACAGAGAUGUUUGUGUUGGUCUAAGUUUGGUGUGGCAUUGUUGUAUAGAUUAGCAUAGUCUGGUCUCCCUACAUUUUCUUUUUCCAAAGAUUUGUAAUACACUUGUACAGCUGUACUGUUUGAGGUGUAUGAAUAUAAAUAUAUAUUUGAGUGGUUAUGCUUAUUGAAGAAAUCCGAGAUGUAUUUUCUUAAUAUAUAUUGUACGUAAUUAUCUAGUUAAGGGUAGAAUUACUAUGUGAAAAAUAUGGGUCGUUACACAGCCCAUAGCACCUCGCUUCAAGCAUAACAUCUGAUAUUUGACACCAACAUAUAUGUCGUCAAAUACUCAAAUAGGUGGUCUCUUAUUAUAGUUAUUAUGGAAUUCUCUAGUUGUUGCUCUAUGCCAUAAGUAGUCGCUAUAACACUCACAACACCGCUCGUUGGGUCGACCCAUGUGGCGUUUUGUUUUCCUCUGGUUUCUUCUCAGCUAUUGUUGUUUUCCCUGAGUUGGUUUUUGUAUGUUUGUUUUUAUUUCUUCCGUUGGUUUUCGGCCAGUUUUUCAUUUGAUUUUUUUAAAUUUUCAAUUUUUAAAUCCAUGAACAAUUUUAAAUGCAUGGGUAUUUAAAAAACAUGACAAUGUUUAGAAUGCCUGAACAUUUUGAAAAAAUCCAUGUUAUUUUCUAAUACGAACAUUGUUUUUCAGUUCUUGAACAUUCUUAAGCGUAUGAAUACUUUAAAAAUUAAUGAAAAUUUAUAUGAAUUUAUGAAUAUUUUAGAAUUUUGCAGAUUUUUUACAAAUUAUGAACAAAUUUUUAAUAUGGGACGUGUAUUUUAUUUUUAUUUUUUGCACUAUACAUAGUGAAAACAGAUGGUGAAUCAUGGACUGAACUGGAUAGGGAGCGCAUAUCGCAGGCCGACCCGACAUUUUGGGUCUAUUCUACUCCAGAUUGUUGUGAAUCGCACUAUAGCAUCCACCCAAUCGUCGGAACAGCUGCCCUGAUGCUAGAUGUCGUCACCGAACCGCUGGACCACCCUUUACUCAUUAGCGCCGGACGAUGUCGCUAGCUCCACGAAUCUUCUUGUGCGAUGACCGAUGCCCCCGCACUAGAAGAAAGUAUCAUUUUGCAACAUUAGUGAGCUUCCACAACAAUGCUUGCGACCAGCAUCGUCGUGCCUCUAGACACGUCGAUGUGGUUGAAGAUGUGCUCUUGUGUCCCUUGAUCUCCUCGUUGCGAUCACCCAGGGUCGUCGACCAGAUCCAUCUAGUCGAUUUUGAGCCGGCAGCGAGCGCAAUGGUCUAGCAUGACAAUCCAACCCUUUCGGGCAUCCCUGGUGAUGACGAGCUACAGCACGGGCUAGCGGUGAUGGUGCACAAUCCCUGCCACAUAUGUCACUGUUCAUGUCAUCGUGGCGAGAGACGGUACUCCCACAUAUCUGAUUGCUUCUCCCCCCACGAUGCAUAGUGUUGCCACGGCUGCGACAUGGCUUAUCACCGGCGGGCGCUGUCACACUAGUCGGAGCAACGACUGGUCGAAGAUGGGGCCUGGCACCACAACCGUGAUCCACGCCAGCUUGCCGCGGUUUUGGCCUACGUCACGAGAGACGCUCUCCCAAGGAUCUGACCUCCUCCGUUGCCACAACCAACAAGGGAUACGAGGUGAUGGAGACACACCCAAUGCGAGGAGGUGGAGACAUGCACCCCAACGAAUACCGUAGCGACGGUGACGCGUUCCUAGGUGGCACCUGACCCUAAGGGCAUCUCCAGCCGCGCCCCCAACAAACUCUCACCAGGCGAUUUUGCCGCGCCGGCGCCAAAAAAACGGUCCAGUCACGCCCCCAGAAGCCUGUUUUUCGCCAGUUCGGGCUAAAACUGGUGCCGGUGGACCCAAGCCGAACCUGGCGCCUUGGGGGCAUUUGGGGAGCCGGCACAAGCAAAAAAGGCGCGUGGGCCUGCCCUGGCGGCGACCCGAGGGCCUUUUCCCGCCGCUUCUUGACGCUUUUCCCUUGCAUCUCUUCCGCUCGCUCGCCUUCCUCCCACCAAACCCCCUCCAGCUUGCCUUCCAGUUGCCGCCAUGCCGCCGAAGAAGUACGCCAUGCCGCGCGCGGCGGCAACCACGACUGGCACCGUGGCCCAGCCGAAGCAGAGGAAGCCGAGGGCGCCGCCAUCGAAGCCACCGGGCAUGUCGAACGCCGAGUGGAGGGUGGAAGUUCAGCGACGCGAUGCAGUCACCACCGACCGGCGGAACAGGGCCAUUGCCAAGAAGGCCCGCGACAACGCGGCGCGUGCGGCGGCGUCUUCCUUAUCGGUCGACCAUGCGGGGAUGAUGAAUCCACCCGUCGUCAGCCACGCCCAGUACGCGCCCUGGGGACAGCAAGGCAUCGGAUCUCCAUGGGGAUCAUCGUCGCCCGGCUACACCGACGGCGACGCGCAUGGGGGGUUCAACCCAAACGUGACCUUUCCCCAUGGCCACCCCGCGACGCGCACACCCUCGCCCGCCUUCGUCGACGUGCAGUACCCUCCAUACAACUACUCGCCGCCCGCCGCCUACGCGUCCACACCGACGCCCCAUCUCCGCCGUGGACCGCUGCCCUUCUCGCACCUCGGCGACACGGAUGACACAGGAGCCGACAUGGACGACAUCAUCGCGACAGGAUCGACCGCGGCCGCCGCGUCUCCCAGGUUCGCCACCCAGGACGAGGCAGUGGAUCUCAGCGGCGACAUGGAGGCCGAGCUCGGCUACGUCUACAGCGAGGACACGCACGAAGCGCAGGAACCCGAGGAGGAGGAGGAGGACGAGCAGGAGGAGGAGGAGGAGGAGCCGGCUCCUGUUCCGAUGAAGGGGCGCCAGAAGAAGAAGAAGCGGGCGGCUAGGUCAGGCGAACCAUGCAUCAAGUGGACGUCCAAGAAGGAGGAAUGCCUCGCCGAAGCAUGGAAAGUCAUCUGCCUCGACCCGACCACCGGCGCGAACCAGAGCUUGGAGACGUACUGGGACCGCAUCAAGGCCGAGUUCGAUGAGCGGAAGCUCGUCGACCCGUACUUCAAAGGCGUCUACAUGCAGCGCGGCUCCAAGGCGAUGGCGAACCAUUGGGGGCGUAUCCAGUUGGCGUGCAACAAAUGGCAUGGAAUCGUCGAGGAGGUCGCGGCUCGCCCGGAGAGCGGCGCCAGCGUUGAGGAUCAGGUACGCACGCCGUUCGCCCGCAUCUCUUCGUCGUCAAUGUUGGAAAUAUGCCCUAGAGGCAAUAAUAAAUUGAUUAUUAUUAUAUUUCCUUGUUCGUGAUAAUCGUUUAUUAUCCAUGCUAGAAUUGUAUUGAUAGGAAACUCAGAUACAUGUGUGGAUACAUAGACAACACCAUGUCCCUAGUAAGCCUCUAGUUGACUAGCUCGUUGAUCAAUAGAUGGUUACGGUUUCCUGAUCAUGGACAUUGGAUGUCAUUGAUAACGGGAUCACAUCAUUAGGAGAAUGAUGUGAUGGACAAAGACCCAAUCCUAAGCCUAGCACAAGAUCAUGUAGUUCGUAUGCUAAAGCUUUUCUAAUGUCAAGUAUCAUUUCCUUAGACCAUGAGAUUGUGCAACUCCCAGACACCGUAUGAGUGCUUUGGGUGUGCCAAACAUCACAACUUAACUGGGUGGCUAUAAAGGUACACUACAGGUAUCUCCGAAAGUGUCUGUUGGGUUGGCACGAAUCGAGACUGGGAUUUGUCACUCCGUGUGACGGAUAGGUAUCUCUGGGCCCACUCGGUAGGACGUCAUCAUAAUGUGCACAAUGUGAUCAAGGAGUUGAUCACGGGAUGAUGUGUUACGGAACGAGUAAAGAGACUUGCCGGUAACGAGAUUGAACAAGGUAUCGGGAUACCGACGAUCGAAUCUCGGGCAAGUGUCGUACCGAUAGACAAAGGGAAUUGUAUACGGGAUUGCUUAAGUCCUUGACAUCGUGGUUCAUCUGAUGAGAUCAUCGUGGAACAUGGGUAUCCAGAUCCUGCUGUUGGUUAUUGACCAGAGAGUCAUCUCGGUCAUGUCUGCAUGUCUCCCGAACCCGUAGGGUCUACACACUUAAGGUUCGGUGACGCUAGGGUUAUAGAGAUAUUAGUAUGCGGUAACCUGAAAGUUGUUCGGAGUCCCGGAUGAGAUCUCGGACGUCACGAGGAGUUCCGGAAUGGUCCAGAGGUAAAGAAUUAUAUAUAGGAAGUGCCAUUUCGGCCAUCGGGACAAGUUUCGGGGUCACCGGUAUUGUACCGGGACCACCGGAAGGGUCCCGGGGGUCCACCGGGUGGGGCCACCUGCCCCGGGGGGCCACAUGGGCUGUAGGGGGUGUGCCUUGGCCUAUAUGGGCCAAGGGCACCAGCCCCAAGAGGCCCAUGCGCCAAGAGAAGAGGGAAAGGAAGAGUCCUAAAGGGGGAAGGCACCUCUGAGGUGCCUUGGGGAGGAGGGACUCCUCCCUGGCCGCACCCUUCCUUGGAGGAAGGGCCAAGGCUGCGCCCCCUCUCCCUUGGCCCUAUAUAUAGUGGGGGGAAGGGAGGGCAACCACACCUAAGCCCUGGCGCCUCCCUCUCCCUCCCAUGACACAUCUCCCUCCUCCCGCAGCGCUUGGCGAAGCCCUGUUGGAAUCCCGCUACUUCCACCACCACGCCGUCGUGCUGCUGGAUCUCCAUCAACCUCUCCUCCCCCUUGCUAGAUCAAGAAGGAGGAGACGUUGCUGCUCCGUACGUGUAUUGAACGCGGAGGUGCCGUCCGUUCGGCGCUAGGAUCAUCGGUGAUUUGGACAACGACGAGUACGACUCCAUCAACCCCGUUCUCUUGAACGCUUCCGCGCGCGAUCUACAAGGGUAUGUAGAUCCACUCCUCCCUCAUUUCUAGAUGACUCCAUAGAUUGAUCUUGGUGACACGUAGGAAAAUUUUGAAUUUAUGCUACGUUCCCCAACAGUGGCAUCAUGAGCUAGGUCUAUGCGUAGUUUCUAUGCACGAGUAGAACACAAAGUUGUUGUGGGCAUUGAUUUUGUUCAAUAUGCUUGCCGUUACUAGUCCAAUCUUGAUUCAGCGGCAUUGUGGGAUGAAGCGGCCCGGACCAACCUUACACGUACGCUUACGUGAGACCGGUUCCACCGACUAACAUGCACUAGUUGCAUAAGGUGGCUGGCGGGUGUCUGUCUCUCCCACUUUAGUCGGAUCGGAUUCGAUGAAAAGGGUCCUUAUGAAGGGUAAAUAGCAAUUGGCAUAUCACGUUGUGGUUUUUGCGUAGGUAAGAAACGUUCUUGCUAGAAACCCAUAAGCAGCCACGUAAAACAUGCAAACAACAAUUAGAGGACGUCUAACUUGUUUUUGCAGGGUAUGCUAUGUGAUGUGAUAUGGCCGAAAGGAUGUGAUGAAUGAUAUAUGUGAUGUAUGAGAUUGAUCAUGUUCUUGUAAUAGGAAUCACGACUUGCAUGUCGAUGAGUAUGACAACCGGCAGGAGCCAUAGGAGUUGUCUUAAUUUAUUUAUGACCUGCGUGUCAACAUAAACGUCAUGUAAUUACUUUACUUUAUUGCUAACCGUUAGCUGUAGUAGUAGAAGUAAUAAGUUGGCGAGACAACUUCGUGGAGACACAAUGAUGGAGAUCAUGAUGAUGGAGAUCAUGGUGUCAUGCCGGUGACGAUGAUGAUCAUGGAGCCCCAAGAUGGAGAUCAAAGGAGCUAUAUGAUAUUGGCCAUAUCAUGUCACUAUUAUUUGAUUGCAUGUGAUGUUUAUCAUGUUUAUGCAUCUUGUUUACUUAGAAUAACAGUAGUAAAUAAGAUGAUCCCUCAUUAAAAUUUCAAGAAAGUGUUCCCCCUAACUGUGCACCGUUGCGACAGUUCGUUGUUUCGAAGCACCACGUGAUGAUCGGGUGUGAUAGAUUCUAACGUUCACAUACAACGGGUGUAAGACAGAUUUACACACGCGAAACACUUAGGUUGACUUCACGAGCCUAGCAUGUGUACAGACAUGGCCUCGAAACACAGAAGACCGAAAGGUCGAGCAUGAGUCGUAUGGUAGAUACGAUCAACAUGAAGAUGUUCACCGAUGUUGACUAGUCCGUCUCACAUGAUGAUCGGACACGGCCUAGUUGACUCGGAUCAUGUAAUCACUUAGAUGACUAGAGGGAUGUCUAUCUGAGUGGGAGUUCACAAGAUGAACUUAAUUAUCCUAAACAUAGUCAAAAGGUCUUCGCAAAUUAUGUCGUAGCUCGCGCUUCAGUUCUACUGUUUAGAUAUGUUCCUAGAGAAAAUUUAGUUGAAAGUUGAUAGUAGUAAUUAUGUGGACUAGGUCCGUAAACUGAGGAUUGUCCUCAUUGCUUCAUAGAAGGCUUAUGUCCUUAAUGAACCGCUCAGUGUGCUGAACCUCGAACGUCGUCAAUGGAUGUUGCGAACAUCUGACAUACACAUUUUGAUAACUACGUGAUAGUUCAGUUAAAUAGCUUAGAGUUGAAGCACUGAAGACGUUUUGAAACAUCACGAAACAUAUGAGAUGUUUCGAGGGCUGAAAUUGGGAUUUCAGGCUCAUGCCCACGUCAAGAGGUAUAAGACCUCCGACGAUUUUCUUAGCCUGUAAACUAAGGGAGAAAAGCUCAAUUGUUGAACUUGUGCUCAGAUUGUCUGAGUACAACAAUCGCUUGAAUCGAGUGGGAGUUGAUCUUCCAGAUGAAAUAGUGAUGGUUCUCCGAAGUCAUUACCACCAAGCUGCUAGAGCUUCGUGAUGAACUAUAAUAUAUCAGGGACAUAUAUGAUGAUCCUUGAGAUAUUCACGAUGUUUGACACCACAAAAGUAGAAAUCAAGAAGGAGCAUCAAUUGUUGAUGGUUGGUGAAACCACUAGUUUCAAGAAGGGCAAGGGAACGAAGGGAUACUUCAUGAAACAGCAAUUCAGCUGCUGCUCUAGUGAAGAAACCCAAGGUUGAACCCAAACCCGAGACUAAGUGCUUCUGUAAUAAGGGGAACAGCCACUGGAGCAGAAUUACCCUAGAUACUUGGUAGAUGAGAAGGCUGGCAAGGUCGAUAGAAGUAUAUUGGAUAUACAUUGUGUUGAUGUGUACUUUACUAGUACUCCUAGUAGCACCAGGGUAUUAGAUACCGGUUCGGUUGCUAAGUGUUAGUAACUCGAAAUAAAAGCUACGGAAUAAACGGAGACUAGCUAAAGGUGAGCUGACAAUAUGUGUUGGAAGUGUUUCCAAUCUUGAUAUGAUCAAGCAUCGCACGCUCCCUCUACCAUCGAGAUUGGUGUUUGCGUUGAGCAUAGACAUGAUUAGAUUAUGUCUAUCGCAAUACGGUUAUUCAUUUAAGGAGAAUAACGGUUACUCUGUUUAUUUGAAUAAUACCUUCAAAUGGUCUUACACCUGAAAUGAAUGGUUUAUUGAAUCUCGAUCGUAGUGAUACACAUGUUCAUGCCAAAAGAUAGUAAUGAUAGUACCACCUACUUGUGGCACUGCCACUUAAGUCAUAUCAGUAUAAAACGCAUGAAGAAGCUCCAUGUUGAUGGAUCUUUGGACUCACUCGUUUUUGAAGUUUGAGACAUGCGAACCAUGUCUAUUGGUGUAUAUGCAUGAAGAAACUCCAUGCAGAUGGAUCAUUUGGACUCACUUGAUUUUGAAUCACUUGAGACAUGCAAAUCAUACCACAUGGGCAAGAUGACUGAAAGCCUCGUUUUCAGUAAAAUGGAACUAGAAAGCAACUCGUUGGAAGUAAUACAUUUUGAUGUGUGCAAUCCAAUGAGUGCUGAGGCAUGUAGUGGACAUCGUUAUGUUCUUACUUCACAGAUGAUUUGAGUAGAUGUUGAGUAUAUUUACUUGAUGAAUCACGAGUCUGAAUUAUUGAAAGGUUCAAGUAAUUUCAGGGUGAAGUUGAAAGAUCAUCGUCACAAGAGGAUAAAAGAUCUAUGAUAUGAUCAUAGAGAUGAAUAUUUGAAUUACGAGUUUGGCACAGAAUUAAGACAUUGUGGAAAUUGUUUCACAACUAAUACAGCCUGGAACACCAUAGUGUGAUGGUGUGUCCGAACAUCAUAACUGCACCCUAUUGGAUAUGAUGCAUACCAUGAUGUCUCUUAUCGAAUUACCACGAUAGUUUAUGGGUUAGGCAUUAGAGACAACCACAUUCAAUUUAAAUAGGGCACCACGUAAUUCCGAUGAGAUGACACCGUAUGAACUAUGGUUUAGAGAAACCUAAGCUGUCAUUUCUUAAAAGUUUGGGGCUGUGACGCUUAUGUGAAAAGUUUCAGGCUGAUAAGCUCAAACCCAAAGAGGAUAAAUGCAUCUUCAUAGGACACCCAAAACAGUUGGGUAUACCUCCUGUCUCAGAUUCGAAAGCAAUAAGGGAUUGUUUCUAGAAUCGGGUCCUUUCUCGAGGAAAAGUUUCUCUCGAAAGAAUUGAGUGGGAGGAUGGUGGAGACUUGAUAAGGUUAUUGAACCGUCUCUUCAGCUAGUGUGUGGCAGGGCACAUGAAGUUGUUCCUGUGGCACCUACACCAAUUGAAGUGGAAGCUUAUGAUAGUGAUCAAACUUCAGAUCAAGUCACUACCAAACCUCGUGGGAUGACAAGGAUGCGUACUACUUCAGAGUGGUACGUAAUCCUGUCUUGGAAGUCAUGUUGCUAGACAACAAUGAACCUACGAGCUAUGGAGAAGCGGUGGUGGGCCCGGAUUCCGAUAAAUGGCUCGAGGCCAUAAAAUCCGAGAAAGGAUCCAUGUAUGAAAACAAAGUGUAGACUUUGGAAGAACUACUUGUUGGUCGUAAGGCUGUUAGGUACAUAUGGAUUUUAAAAGGAAGACGGACAAUGAUGGUAAAUCUCACCAUUAAGAAAGCUUGACUUGUCGUUAAGAUGUUUUCCGACAAGUUCAAAGAGUUGACUACGAUGAGACUUUCUCACUCGUAGCGAUGCUAAGAGUCUAUUGGAAUUAUAUUAGCGAUUACUACAUUAUUUAUGAAAUCUUGCAGAUAGGAUGUCAAAACAUUGUUUCCUCGACGUUUUCUUGAGGAAAGGUUGUAUGUGAUACAACCGGAAGGUUUUGUCAAUCCUGAAAGAUGCUGAUAAGUAUGCAAAGCUCCAGCAAUCCUUCUAGGGACUGGAGUAAGCAUCUCGGAGUUGGAAUGUACGCUUUGAUGAUGAUCAAAGAUUUUGGGUUUAUACAAAGUUUAUGAGAAACUUGUAUUUCCAAAGAAGUGAGUGGGAGCACUAUAGAAUUUCUGAUGAAUAUAUGUUGUUGACAUAUUGUUGAUCAGAAAUGACGUAGAAUUUCUGGAAAGCAUAUAGGGUUAUUUGGAAAGUGUUUUUCAAUGGAAAGCCUGGAUUAAGCUACUUGAACAUUGAGCAUCAAUAUCUAUAAGGAUAGAUCAAAACGCUUAAUGGUACUUUCAAAUGAGCACAUACCUUGACAUGAUCUUGAAGGUGUUCAAGAUGGAUCAGUCAAAGAAGGAGUUCUUGCCUGAGUUCUAAGGUAUGAAGUUAAGACUUAAAGCUCGACCACGGCAGAAUAGAGAGAAAGGACGAAGGUCGUCCCCUAUGCUUAAGACAUAGGCUCUACAGUAUGCUAUGCUGUGUACCGCACCUGAAAUGUGCCUUACCAUGAGUCAGUCAAGGGGUACAAAUGUGAUCUAAGAAUGGAUCACAGGACAGCGGUCAAAGUUAUCCUUAGUAACUAGUGGACUAAGGAAUUUUCUCGAUUAUGGAGGUGGUAAAAGAGUUCGUCGUAAAGGUUACGCCGAUGCAAACUUUGACACUAAUCCAGAUUAUUCUGAGUAGUAAAAUGGAUUCGUAUAGUAGAACCGUUAUUUGGAAUAGCUCCAAAUGUAGCGUAGUAGUUGCAUCUACAAGAUGACAUAAGAAAUUUGCGAAGUACAUACGGAUCUGAAAGAUUCAGACCCGUUGACUAUAACAUCUCUCACAAGCAUAACAUGUUCAAACCCAGAACUCAUCGAGUGUUAAUCACAUGGUAAUGUGAUCUAGAUUAUUGACUCUAGUAAACUCUUUGGGUGUUAGUCACAUGGGGAUGUGACCUUGAGUGUUAAUCACAUAUCGACGUGAACUGGAUUAUUGACUCUAGUGCAAGUGGGAGACUGUUGGAUAUAUGCCCUAGAGGCAAUAAUAAAUUGAUUAUUAUUAUAUUUCCUUGUUCGUGAUAAUCGUUUAUUAUCCAUGCUAGAAUUGUAUUGAUAGGAAACUCAGAUACAUGUGUGGAUACAUAGACAACACCAUGUCCCUAGUAAGCCUCUAGUUGACUAGCUCGUUGAUCAAUAGAUGGUUACGGUUUCCUGACCAUGGACAUUGGAUGUCAUUGAUAACGGGAUCACAUCAUUAGGAGAAUGAUGUGAUGGACAAAGACCCAAUCCUAAGCCUAGCACAAGAUCAUGUAGUUUGUAUGCUAAAGCUUUUCUAAUGUCAAGUAUCAUUUCCUUAGACCAUGAGAUUGUGCAACUCCCGGAUACCGUAGGAGUGCCUUGGGUGUGCCAAACGUCACAACGUAACUGGGUGGCUAUAAAGGUACACUACAGGUAUCUCCGAAAGUGUCUGUUGGGUUGGCACGAAUCGAGACUGGGAUUUGUCACUCCGUGUGACGGAGAGGUAUCUCUGGGCCCACUCGGUAGGACGUCAUCAUAAUGUGCACAAUGUGAUCAAGGAGUUGAUCACGGGAUGAUGUGUUACGGAACGAGUAAAGAGACUUGCCGGUAACGAGAUUGAACAAGGUAUCGGGAUACCGACGAUCGAAUCUCGGGCAAGUGUCGUACCGAUAGACAAAGGGAAUUGUAUACGGGAUUGAUUAAGUCCUUGACAUCGUGGUUCAUCCGAUGAGAUCAUCGUGGAACAUGUGGGAGCCAACAUGGGUAUCCAGAUCCCGCUGUUGGUUAUUGACCAGAGAGUCAUCUCGGUCAUGUCUGCAUGUCUCCCGAACCCGUAGGGUCUACACACUUAAGGUUCGGUGACGCUAGGGUUAUAGAGAUUUUAGUGUGCGGUAACCCGAAAGUUGUUCGGAGUCCCGGAUGAGAUCCCGGAUGUCACGAGGAGUUCUGGAAUGGUCCGGAGGUAAAGAAUUAUAUAUAGGAAGUGCUAUUUCGGCCAUCGGGACAAGUUUCAGGGUCACCGGUAUUGUACCGGGACCACCGGAAGGGUCCCGGGGGUCCACCGGGUGGGGCCACCUGCCCCGGGGGCCACAUGGGCUGUAGGGGGUGCGCCUUGGCCUAUAUGGGCCAAGGGCACCAGCCCCAAGAGGCCCAUGCGCCAAGAGAAGAGGGAAAGGAAGAGUCCUAAAGGGGGAAGGCACCUCCGAGGUGCCUUGGGGAGGAGGGACUCCUCCCUGGCCGCACCCUUCCUUGGAGGAAGGGCCAAGGCUGCGCGCCCCCUCUCCCUUGGCCCUAUAUAUAGUGGGGGGAAGGGAGGGCAACCACACCUAAGCCCUGGCGCCUCCCUCUCCCUCCCAUGACACAUCUCCCUCCUCCCGCAGCGCUUGGCGAAGCCCUGUUGGAAUCCCGCUACUUCCACCACCACGCCGUCGUGCUGCUGGAUCUCCAUCAACCUCUCCUCCUCCUUGCUGGAUCAAUAAGGAGGAGACGUUGCUGCUCCGUACGUGUGUUGAACGCGGAGGUGUCGUCCGUUCGGCGCUAGGAUCAUCGAUGAUUUGGAUCACGACGAGUACGACUCCAUCAACCCCGUUCUCUUCAACGCUACCGCGCGCGAUCUACAAGGGUAUGUAGAUCCACUCCUCCCUCGUUGCUAGAUGAUUCCAUAGAUUGAUCUUGGUGACACGUAGGAAAAUUUUGAAUUUAUGCUACGUUCCCCAAUAGUGGCAUCAUGAGCUAGGUCUAUGCGUAGUUUCUAUGCACGAGUAGAACACAAAGUAGUUGUGUGCGUUGAUUUUGUUCAAUAUGCUUGCCGUUACUAGUCCAAUCUUGAUUCGGCGGCAUUGUGGGAUGAAGCGGCCCGGACCAACCUUACACGUACGCUUACAUGAGACCGGUUCCACCGACUAACAUGCACUAGUUGCAUAAGGUGGCUGGCGGGUGUCUGUCUCUCCCACUUUAGUCGGAUCGGAUUCGAUGACAAGGGUCCUUAUGAAGGGUAAAUAGCAAUUGGCAUAUCACGUUGUGGUUUUUGCGUAGGUAAGAAACGUUCUUGCUAGAAACCCAUAAGCAGCCACGUAAAACAUGCAAACAACAAUUAGAGGACGUCUAACUUGUUUUUGCAGGGUAUGCUAUGUGAUGUGAUAUGGCCGAAAGGAUGUGAUGAAUGAUAUAUGUGAUGUAUGAGAUUGAUCAAGUUCUUGUAAUAGGAAUCACGACUUGCAUGUCGAUGAGUAUGACAACCGGCAGGAGCCAUAGGAGUUGUCUUAAUUUAUUUAUGACCUGCGUGUCAACAUAAACGUCAUGUAAUUACUUUACUUUAUUGCUAACCGUUAGCUGUAGUAGUAGAAGUAAUAAGUUGGCGAGACAACUUCAUGGAGACACAAUGAUGGAGAUCAUGAUGAUGGAGAUCAUGGUGUCAAUGCCGGUGACGAUGAUGAUCAUGGAGCCCCAAGAUGGAGAUCAAAGGAGCUAUAUGAUAUUGGCCAUAUCAUGUCACUAUUAUUUGAUUGCAUGUGAUGUUUAUCAUGUUUAUGCAUCUUGUUUACUUAGAACGACGGUAGUAAAUAAGAUGAUCCCUCAUUAAAAUUUCAAGAAAGUGUUCCCCCUAACUGUGCACCGUUGCGACAGUUCGUUGUUUCGAAGCACCACGUGAUGAUCGGGUGUGAUAGAUUCUAACGUUCACAUACAACGGGUGUAAGACAGAUUUACACACGCGAAACACUUAGGUUGACUUGACGAGCCUAGCAUGUGUACAGACAUGGCCUCGGAACACAGAAGACCGAAAGGUCGAGCAUGAGUCGUAUGGUAGAUACGAUCAACAUGAAGAUGUUCACCGAUGUUGACUAGUCCGUCUCACGUGAUGAUCGAACACGGCCUAGUUGACUCGGAUCAUGUAAUCACUUAGAUGACUAGGGGGAUGUCUAUCUGAGUGGGAGUUCACAAGAUGAACUUAAUUAUCCUAAACAUAGUCAAAAGGUCUUCGCAAAUUAUGUCGUAGCUCGCGCUUCAGUUCUACUGUUUAGAUAUGUUCCUAGAGAAAAUUUAGUUGAAAGUUGAUAGUAGUAAUUAUGCGGACUAGGUCCGUAAACUGAGGAUUGUCCUCAUUGCUUCAUAGAAGGCUUAUGUCCUUAAUGCACCGCUCAGUGUGCUGAACCUCGAACGUCGUCAAUGGAUGUUGCGAACAUCUGACAUACACAUUUUGAUAACUACGUGAUAGUUCAGUUAAACGGCUUAGAGUUGAAGCACCAAAGACGUUUUGAAACAUCGCGAAAUAUAUGAGAUGUUUCGAGGGCUGAAAUUGGGAUUUCAGGCUCGUGCCCACGUCAAGAGGUAUAAGACCUCCGACGAUUUUCUUAGCCUGCAAACUAAGGGAGAAAAGCUCAAUUGUUGAACUUGUGCUCAUAUUGUUUGAGUACAACAAUCGCUUGAAUCGAGUGGGAGUUGAUCUUCCAGAUGAAAUAGUGAUGGUUCUCCGAAGUCAUUACCACCAAGCUGCUAGAGCUUCGUGAUGAACUAUAAUAUAUCAGGGACAUAUAUGAUGAUCCUUGAGAUAUUCGCGAUGUUUGACACCACAAAAGUAGAAAUCAAGAAGGAGCAUCAAUUGUUGAUGGUUGGUAAAACCACUAGUUUCAAGAAGGGCAAGGGCACGAAGGGAUACUUCAUGAAACGGCAAUUCAGCUGCUGCUCUAGUGAAGAAACCCAAGGUUGAACCCAAACCCGAGACUAAGUGCUUCUGUAAUAAGGGGAACCCAAACCCCGUUCUCUUGAACGCUUCCGCGCGCGAUCUACAAGGGUAUGUAGAUCCACUCCUCCCUCGUUGCUAGAUGACUCCAUAGAUUGAUCUUGGUGACACGUAGGAAAAUUUUGAAUUUAUGCUACGUUCCCCAACAGUCAACGCCCGCCGCCCGCCAACUGUUUGUUCCUCCGCGCAGCUGCUGCGUAUGUUCACCAUGUAUCGGCGCGACAACCAAGACGCCGACUUCAAGCACCUCCACGUCUACAAGCGCAUUGACAAGUGCGAGAAGUGGGCGGAAGUCCGACGUACCCUCGACAAGGCCAAGGAGACAUACAAGCCGGACGCGAUGACUCCGGGCGCGUCAAAGGGGCGGCCGGACGGCCACAAAUUGGCAAAGAAGGGGAAAAACGCCGACGCGGCAACCGCGCGAGUGCAGGAGUCCAUCGAGCAUUGACUCGUCGACGCCCAGGCCCGGGCCGUCCUACGUGAAGAGAAGACCGAGGCGCGGUGGUCGUCGCUGAUGAAGAACAGCGCCAUCAAGCUCGACCUGCUCCGGACGAACGUCGCCGCGAAGAAGAGGAACACCGACAUGGCUUUUCUGAUGGUCAGGGCGGACAUGCUCCUGAGCAACGACGAGCAGCUCAGGGCGUGGUACAUGGCGGAGCGCGGCCUCAUCCUGAACCAGAUGCAGACGGCAACGCCGACGACGCCGACGACGCAAGCUCCCGCGCCCACGACCACACGGACGCCAAGCCCGAACGACGCCUCUACAUCGCCGCCCAGCAGUGCCGAAGCCGCGCCGACACAGCCCAGCACCGAAGCAGCUCCGACACCGCCGAGCCCGCGCACGCCGACUCCGCCAACGCCUGGAGCCGACCCCGCCGAGUGAAUCAUUGCGCACGCGAACUUGCGGCGUGCGACGCUCUGUUUUCUGUAACGCCAGACUACGUCCGAUCGCCGGAUUUGUGGCGUCUUUUGAGAGCGGGAACGACCAAGUUUAAAUUUUCCGCAUCCUGAGGCCGGCGCUUGGGGGCGUGACUGGGAGCUAGGUCGCCCCUAGGCCGCUCUAUUUAGAUGCCUGGGGGGCCGAACGGCUGGAGAUGCCCUAAGUUGUCCCAUGGUGAAGUGCAUGGUGGCGGCCUGCAGGCGGCCGUGGUCGGUAAGCUAACCGGGUUGCGAGAAAAGGCCAACCUGUUUAUCAGAGGGCUCUGGGUUUUCUUCUGGACUAGUAUCACUUAGACUUCUGGCCUAGGUAAUAGGACGUGCAGUGGAGGCUGAACUACACAACAGAUCCUGAGAGCCAAAAAUGUUUUAAUCAAGAAAAUCGGACGGCCAAAAAUGACAAGAGCAUGAGAAGGCUGAGAAAGAGCUCAAAUUUAUUGUCCUAAAAUAAAUAUGAGAAUAGGACCAGGGGUGAAGCCCUUUUUGUUAAAAAAGAACAGUAAUAUCAAAAAAUGUGGCAUUAAUAUUUUUCCAUGGUUGUUAAAGAAAUUUAUCAUCCUCGCAACAACAUUAUUUUGCUAUAAAAAAUAGGGUCCUAAUAACGUCCACACGUGUGGCAUACUAAGCAUCCGCCCACACAUCGGGUGUGGCGUGAGCAGGAGGCAGCUCACACGGACUGUGUGUGGGCGGACAUUAGAAUUGCCCGCGGGUACUACUCAUUCCCACCCCACGCAUGUGGCACGAAGCAAAUCUUCCCACACGUUCUGGCGCAGCUACAUUAGGUACCCGCGAGAUGACAAUUUAGUUGCCAUCUGGGAUGGCAGAUGUAGUUAUCCGGAAUGACAAAUGUAGUUGUAAAAGCAUGCAACUCUCUUUAUUUUGGUUAAAUAUAGUUGCCAUGUCUAAUUUAUGGUAGUUGCCGCGUGUAAUCAAACCAUAAUUGUUAUAUGUGAUUAACUACUUGCCACAUAUGGUCAAACAAUAAUUGCCACGUGUGUUUAUCUAGUUUCCACGUGUGGUCCAACCAUAGUUGCCAUCUAUGGUUAAUCACAAUUCUCAUGUGUGCAGUUGUCGUCUAGCAACGAAUCAUAGUUGCCACGUACACGCAGCUGCAGUUACCAUCCAACAACGUACGAGUGUCGUGUGAGUGAAAAGCAGUUCAUCCACACAUGCGUGAACUAGGUGGUGGUUGUAUGGGCAGAAACUAGUUCACCCACACAGUGCAGCUGAUAAACUGCGUGCUGCGGGGUGUAUGGACGAACUCUCCAAUGUCCACACAAGAUAAUGCUUACGGUGGCACUCAGAUUCUAACAUAUUUCUUUAGGAUUCGUGCAAAAUAGAAACAACACGGAUCAAGGUGUGUGGGCGAUGUGCACACAUGUCACACAUAUGGACGUUAUCAUUUGAAAAAAAAUAGAUUUGCCAUGUCAAAAAAAAAUAUCUAAACUUCGACUUGUAUAUAGUGCAAUAGAAGAACCGAAUCCACGGUCAGAGCAAGCGAUGAAAAAAUGAAGGCCUUCUUUGAUUUGCAGGAAAAGGGAUUUCAUAGGAUAGGAUUUUUGUAGGAACAGUUUUUUGGUGCCCUUUGGUUUGUACAGAAAUAGAAUCCUAUUUCUAUUUCUAUGAAUAAAUUCUUUCUAUCUAUCAUAUUUCAUAGGAAAAUAAACAUUACUGACUCAAUGAAAAAAAUCGUAUAAUAUGAAUCAAAGAACAUCUCUUUCCUAUUUGCUGCUCAAUAGAUUUUCCUACCCUAUAUCUCUCUCUUUCCUGCUCAUAGGAUUUUCCUACCCUAUGUAUCUCUCCGUCGUAUCGUCUCGUCUCGUAUUCUCCGACAGUCCGACUCGAAUCCAUGAGCGGGGCCGGCGCGGCGCUAGCCUCGUCGGCAUUGGGCCUCUGCGGGGAGGACGGGAGGGCGGAGUGGCUGCGCUUCUACGAUCAGGUCGAGGCGCAGGUGGAGGCGCUGGCCGCCGACCGCGCGCAUCUAGAGGCGACAAGGGGCGAGGGGGAGGAGGCGCCCGCCGCUUGUAAGACACCGCCCAUUGUCUCGUACCCGUCCUCCACAUUCAGGGUUAAUUUUGGUCCCCGUAAUGACAAAUUUAGGGUUGCGUUCUUGUGGCUCUGCUGGAUUGAUAAGCGAGACACGCGCUGCAAUCGAGUCAGUUAGCCAUACCGUCCUGCGUCCCGAGGUUCUCUGAAGAUUUGGCAACACAUCAGUCGCAAUAAACAAAGUUGUCCCCCCACUCUUUUCCGUUGUAUUAGAAGCAUGCUCUGUCAUGCUUUGGAGAGCAUCGCAUGGAAAUGACAGCGGCGAAGAUCCGUCGCUGCACUGCAUAUAGGCUAAACAUCAGAGAGCUCUUGCUAUUCUGGCCAUCGUGAACAUGUUACUCUGUGCAGAUUUUACCUUCACUUCGCAUUUGGAUUUGUAAUUUUGCAUGGUAGAGUUCUCUACCUUCCACUUUCAGAAAGGAAUUUAUUUUUUGGUGCUGAUAUCGCUGCCUUGCGUAUUCAAUGUAGAACUCCAAGAGGGUGAUCUGGAGGAUGUCAGAGCUUGUAGAGGUCUUCUUGCCCUACCAAGCACUGAAUCUAAGGUAAUGUAGUUACCGAGAUAUCAGAUGCAUUCUCAAAAGCUUGCAGUCCAGCUUGGGCAUCAUCUCGUUGACUUUCCUAAUUCCAUUUUUGCAUCUCUGUUUGGUUCCGUUAAUGUUAAUCGAAGCCGAAGGAAGUUCAAGAUCGUCUAGAGCUUGGUGAAGACACUGGGGAUCAUGAGCACAGUGUAAAAGUGCUGAGAGCAAACCUUAGAAAACUAAAGGGAGCUUUUGAGACCCUGAUGUCCAAGAAGGAUAAGGAUAUUUAUUCAGUAAAAGUUGUUCUUUUGAACCAGUUGAAUACAAUGGAAAAGGAAAGCAUGCUCUCUGAGAACAAGAAACUAGAGGCAGCACAAGCUACUGAAGAAGCGAAGAAGCUUCAGCAGAACGUACAGGCGCUGCGCGUCGCAACUCAAAACAAGGACAAUGAGAUUGGCAGACUCCAUGCAGAAGCUCUUGUGGCUCAACAGAAGCUACAUGAAAUGGAUUCCUUGCUGAAGGAGAAAGAUGAAAGUAUUGAAAAACUCCAUACGGAAAACAUUGGAUUACAUGCUGUAAAGGAUUUUGUUUGGAGCCAGUUCCGGAUAAAGGAGCAGGAGCUGCUGGACUACGCCAUGCUUCUUAAGAACAAGGAAGUGGCAGCAGCACAAGCUACUGAAGCAGCGCAAAAGCUAGUAAAGGAGAAUCGCACGAUGGAGGCAGAAGUUGUUGAUUAUGGAAACAAGUUAUUGAUUCUAGAGGAUAAGCUAAAGGAGACGCGCUCCUUGGUGAAGGAGAAAGAUGAAGAAAUCCAAGAACUCAGGAAUCGCCAACCUGAGACCACGAGUCUGAAGCGCAAGUGCGCCUCUUCCUUGUCAAAUGUAAGUACGUCAUUUCCAAGUAUACUAUCCUUUGAAUGUUAUUUGUGUUGCGAACAUGCCUUGCCACAUAUAGUCAAUCGACAGUAUUUUGUUUACUAUGUAAAUGUGCCUGAUAAAUUUUGACAUUAAAAAAAACUAUGUUAAUAAAACAUUGAAAAAAAACUAACUUUUUUCAAAAUUCACUUUUGGUUGUUUCGCCUCGUGCUAUGUGAUGGCCAACUGACCAUGUGCUAUUUUUAUAAUAUACUAUAUAGUUGAAUACCGAAAAAGGGUCCCCCCGCUUUGUAUUACAAAGCAACUAAGAGUACUUGUUCUUUAUAGUCCAAUGAUUGUAUUCUUAUAAGUGCUACUGUAUUUUUGUGCUGAAAGUACAUGAGCAUCCAACAAAGCAUCUCACUUCCUAUGAUUUUCCUAUUCCUAUAAAAUUCCUAUCCUAUAAACCAAAGAAGGCCUAGUUGUUCUUUAUAGUCCAAUGAUUGUAUUCUUAUAAGUGCUACUGUAAUUUUGUGCUGAAAGUACAUGAGCAUCCAACGAAGCAUCAGCUGUGCUGCUGUGUAUUGUUGGAAACACAGACCGAGAAUAAAGUGAAUAUUUUAGGUUUGCUUUUUUUUACGGGCAAUGGCAGGUGCUCUGCCUUUUCAUUUAGAAGGGGGAAAAACUGUACAAGCAGACUGCAAGCAGUCGGGGAAGCAAAGACAUAGACAGAAGAGAUAAAAGAAAAGCAAGGGACCGGGCUACCAGAACCAACAUGGUUUAUAUGAUUCUCGUAUCUGGUUCUAUAUAGAACCAUCAUAAUGCUCUUGUGGAGAGUGCUAAUGAACAGGGACGUACCCACGUUGACCCACGGGUGUACAGGACACCGGGUGCAAGAGUUUUUCUUUGUAAAUUUCAUGCAAACUAUAGUGGAGGACACCCCACUCUUAGCUGAAAAUUGUGAGUGAUUAUAUGCUGGGACACUGGAUCAUUUUCUCUCUGGGUCUGCCCCUGCUAAUGAAUAUGUUCUGUAACAGGAGACUAGUAAAAAGCGCAGGAGGAUAUCAUUGGGAUGCAUAUAGCUUCUAUUCGGCGAUGCAAGUCCGGCAGACAGUGCUUUGGACGUCGCACAGUGAGUCUCCCUUCAGUCACCAUUUCCCAUCCCAACUCCGUAUCUUUACACCGUGCAUCCCAGAUCUACAUUCUUCUUGCUAAUCUCCUCAAGUUGUAGUGAAUUUGAUUGGUUAAUCUCCUGCUAAACAAUCUUGUAGUGCCUUCUUGUCUAGAAUUGAGUAGAUCUAUGCCUUCUUGUUCCGUAUCUGCUAUCUGAGUUUUUUUUUUCUGCACAAUGAUGUAUGCCUUGUACGAUUAUAUCACCUCAAAAUGUUCUUGUACAUGUUCAGCACUUAGUAUUGCCUUGCACUAUCUUGUUUCUGGAUAAUGACUGAUCCAAGAAACUUUAUAAAUCAUUGACGUUGUAAGCUGGAAAAUAAUGUAUUAUGGUAGGAUAGUUUACAUCAUAAUUACGUUGUAGUUAAUGCUUAUAUGUUACAAUAUAUUCUAAAUCAUAAUACAGUUGUUGAUGAUACUAGUAGCAUACAAAUUCAUGAUGUGGAUAGCAUCUAGAAGUUAUUGGAUAAUACUUAGGUGGAAAAGGUCUUUUUUUACUAUCUUCAACUGUUGGGUUUGCUCACUUAACCCACCAAAGUAUUCUUGUCCAUUUACUCCAUCUAAGUAUGAAUACCUCAUCCACUACGCCUGAUUUUGACACAUAGCAUCACAUUUGAACAUUAUUAAUCACAGAAAAUCCUGACGAGUCAUCUUGUUCCUCUGUCAUUCUCUUGCACCUCUCUGAAUUAUCCACUUCUUCCUGUGCGUGGGUACUGAUACGCAUGGCACUGGCAAGGCAAAAGGCACAAAUUUGACCUCAGGUCGAAACUAUUUCACAAAUUAAACUGUUCUUGAAAGUAUUUCACCCGGCUGACCUUUAAUGUGCAGCACGGCGCUGCACUCUACUGUGCAACGCCUAACACUUAGGCGCCACACUGUGCAGCGCCUAGCUCUAAGGAGUUGCACUACACUGUGCAGCGCCUAGUUGUAAGGAGUUGCACAGUAGAGUGCAGCGCCUUAUUGUUGGGCGCUGCACAAAAGGGUCAGCAGUGUGAAAUAUUUUCUAAAACAGUUUAGUUUGUGAAAUACUUUCGUUUUAAGAUCAAAUUUGCCAAUUUUGCCCACUGGCAAAUACCAGUUUGAGUGACCACGUGCAGAUCCUUAGGAGGAGUAAAGUGGGCCCAGAAUAAUUACCUCGGGGAAUGGGGAUUAAGUGGACAAACACUGUGCUUCAGGCCAGGGUAGAAAAGUCAACAUCUUCCUGAUGGUAUUGAUUUUUCGAAUUGUUCUAAUUGUAUAUGAAAGUAUAACAGGACAAACAAAGAUAGUCUCAAUAUCAUAAAUGCUGAAUAUUCAUGUUGAUCAUUCAUUCUUAGUCCAUGUGUAGUGUAAACGUCCCUAGUCGUUCUGAUCUGAACUAGAUGUCUUACCCAGGCAACUGGAAUGGUUAUCCCCAUAAAAUCUGUUGAUUUGUUGUGACUGAUGAGUGGAUUUUGUUUCUUGGUUCUACCAUCUGACGGAAUUUCUGUUCGGUGGCUUUAACGGAAACUCUUUGUCUAAUAAUAGCUCAUGUUUUUUGUAUGCUUGUUCGACAGAUGCAAAUCUUUGUCAAGACCACAAAUAGCAGGACUUACACUCUUUAGGUCAAGAGUUCAAGUACGAUCAGGGAUGUCGAGGGCAAAAUCCGUGAUCAUGAUCACAGCCUAGACUGCUUUGGUCUCAUCUUUGCUGGCAAGAAGUUGAAGGAUGAACGCACGCUGGCAUAUUACAACAUUAAGAAUUUGAGCACAUUAGAACUUGACCUUUACCUGCAUAUAUCUGUCAAGACGGUGACUGGCAAGAUCAUUGAUAUUGGUGUUUGGAGUUCAGAUACCAUCAAGCAUGUCAAGGUGGUGAUUCACAGUCAGGAGGGCAUUCCUUCGUACGAGCAGCACCUCAUCUUUGCCAGCAAGCAGCCGGAGGAUGGCCGCACCCUUGCAUAUUACAAGAUUGAGAAUUCAUGCACUCUUGAGCUUGUCUGGUGGCUGCAUAUCUAUGUCAAGACGCUGACCGGCAAGACCAUUAUUUUUGCGGUUUUGAGUUCAUGCAAGAUCGAGGAUGUCAAGGCGAUGAUUUAUGGUCAGGAGGGCAUUCCUUUGUCUGCGCAGCGCCUCAUCUUUGCCGGCAAGCAGCUCGAGGAUGGCCGCACCCUGGCGGACUACGGCAUCCAGACUUUCAGCACGCUUCACCUCGUCCUUCGCCUGAGAGGGGGUAGAGUGAUCGGCAUCAAGACGUGGACUGGCAACACGAUUUUUCCUACAGGGGUUUGGACUAACAACACGAUUGAGGAUUUCAAGGCCAUGAUUCACAAGGAAGAGGGCAUUCCCCCAUCGCAGCAGCACCUCUUCAUUGCCGGGAAGCCGCUGGAGAACGACCGCACCCUGGGGAGCUACAUCAGCCAUGAUUCCGACAUCAUCUACGUCAGCCCUGAUUCCGACGUCGUCAUUCACCUUUUAAGUCGGCGCGCGCGGCUGCCUCGUCGGAUUGUGGACAGGGCGCGCAGGCUGCGGAACAAGCAGGAACUUGUGCACGGCUGUCUGUAAUGCGGCGUGGCCCAAUUUGUCUCAGUGGAGUCUAGGCGAAGUCGAACUGUUAGUUAGAAGUCUAACAUGCAGUUAUGUUCACAUGGGUAGUCGAAAACCUGAGUGGAUUUAGACUGUUUACUGCAAAUUUGCGGUGUGUGCGUGUGAAUAACUGCACAUCUGCGAAAGAGUUCCAAACGUUUAUCAAAUGUCACAUCUCUUUUGAAGUGUACAUGUUAUACUGUGCCCACUGGAUGCGGUGUUUAUCAUCUGGCUCAUAUAAGGUGGAUUAUAAUGAUAAAGGUAGUAUUAACGAAUUGAACCACUGAAACUGCUGCAGGAGUAAAAUCAUCGCUACGGUUAAUAAUCAUGCCAUGAUCAGCUAUACUCAACGUGUUUGCAAUGGCUCAAGAACUGAAUCAGCAAACAGCAGCAAGAAGCACAACCAGUCUUAGGAGCUCUAGGACAACACAUCAACUCGUCGUCUCAAACUUGUUCGGUUUGCUUGCGUACGUACCGAGCUUAUAAAAAUUAACCACAGAAUCCAGAAGCUGCUCGUGUCUUCGCCAAGGUGCCAAAAAUUCCGGCUCAGCCCACAAACACAACCCACUGAUUAUGAAAUACUAUUUGGAAAAGGAAGAGAGGAAAUAUUACUCAAUGAUAAAAUUAGUGCUAUGGAAUUUCACACAAUAGUCUAUUCUUUCUUGAUGGCCCAUUGGAAGUUAGCAACCCGAAUUGUUGUUUGGGGAAGAUAACUCCAUCGAGAGGAAUACUAAUAAUGGAAACACAUGCUUGGAGUUUAUUAUCUUUGGCAUGACGACUUGGUCACAUAUCAUGGAACUGAAUCGGCUGGCUUACUAAUUUUUGGAAUUCAAAACUUUAGUGGUAGGAAUUUGGUUUUCUGAAGCACAUAUAUAAUUUGUAUUUGACUUGCACGCCUUUUUUAAGGUGGAAGGAGAUAAAAAGUUUCAUAUGAUUAUUUUUUCUUCUGAUAUACUUACGGUAUUUUAUAGACACUCCCACUAGAGGUCAGAUUAUUUAUUUCAUCUCACUCUUUGAUGAUUACACUUUUAUAUGGUUAUAUUUAUCUUUUAUUAUACAAGUCAGAAGUUUUAUUAUGCUGGUCAUAUGUUAUAAUGAAGUGGAAAAUCAGUUGAUUAAAGAAUAUUAUAGUUUUAACAACUGACUGGUGACGGAAGUACACUUUAGGAAUAUAUCGUUUGUAUGUAAAGAGCAUGGAACUAUUCACCAUUGUAAUACAUCGUUUGUAUGUAAAGAGCAUGAAACUAUUCACUAUUGUAAUACAUCAUACACUCCAACAUUUAAUGGAGGAAUUGAAUAUAAUUAUUUUUGCCUAUAUGUAAAGAGCAUAGAACUAUUCACCAUUGUAAUACAUCCUUUGUAUGUAAAGACGAUGGAACUAUUCACCAUUGUAAUACACCACUCCAAAAUUGAAUGGAGGAAUUGAAUAUAAUUGUUUUUGUAAGAAGCAUUGCAUACAACUCUUUGUUUAUAUCUUUCUUCGUAUAACAUACUCACUCCUUAGGGUUUGUAGACUGGAAGUAAGUCUUUUUAUUUUGGCAACAAAUUCUCAAUACUACAAAGCACACACCAGGAAUUUUGUAAUGGUUAUUCUAGUGGAUCAAAGGGUGUUUUCUUUUUUGAUAUGGAAAAGGAAACUGGUGGAAAGUAGGAAAAUAAAUAUUAUUUUAAUGAUCAAGGGUGAAAUUAUUGAGAAUCAUACUGGAAUAUAAUCUUGACCCCAAUCGAAACUACAAGUGAAACUCCUGACACAAACAUGCUUAGGAUAAGUGGGAGGAAUUAGCUUGGAAUAGCAUGUCUAGAUAAUUGUUAUGUGUUCUUGUGGGAUGUCACUCUAAAGUUUUAGAGGAAUAAUUAAAUUCUAUUAAGAAGAUUUUUUCAUCCGUGUCAGCUACGGGUGGAAGAAAUGCGAGAAGGAAUAAACUCAAAUGAGGAAGAGCAUAGUUUUGGGACCUUAAUAUACCAAAUAACCGCAAGCCUAUUGUCUGGAAGUGAUUUUUUUAAAGGAAAGUUGGCUCACUGGAAUAUUAUAAUGUACUAUUUUUAUUCAAUUCUUCACAUAAAGGGAAAUAUACUUUGUGGAAACUCUCUCUCCUGGAAUUUUGGGAAAGAGGAAAUAAAGACAUGGUUGAUAACCCACACAUAUAGGGGAUCAUUUGUAGCCUUUUUUUGAUAAAUAAGAGUGUCGAACCCAACGAGGAGCUAAAGGUAGAACAAAUAUUCCCUCAAGUUCUAUCCACCACCGAUACAACUCUACGCACACUUAACGUUUGCUUUACCUAGAACAAUAAUAAAGCUAGGAGAACUUUGCGAGAAUAAAACUUUGAAUAAAUUGCAAUAAAAUAAAAGUAGAUAGCUUUUUGUAACACAAGAGAAAGUUUUUUGUCCAUAGGCAGUUGAUAACUAAUCCGGUAAUCAUUAUUGCAAUUUUAUAUGAGGGAGAGGCAUGAGGUAACAUACUUUUCGUACUUGGAUCAUAUGCACUUAUGAUUGGAACUCCAGAAAGCAUCCGCAACUACCAAAGAUCAUUAAGGUAAAACCCAACCAUAGCAUUAAGUAUCAAUUCCUCUUUAUCCCAUACGCAACAACCCCCUUACUCGGGCGUAAGCUUCUGUCACUCUAGGCACCCACCAUAAGUGAAUCAUGAACGUAUUGCAACACCCUACAACGGGUAUCCCCCACGUCUGCACGACACAGAGGGCACCAUAGGACAAUACCAAAAUGAAAUACACAACUCAUACCAAACAAGAUCAUCAAUCAACCCAUAGGACAAAAUAGAUCUACUCAAACAUCAUAGGAUAACCACAUAUCAUUGGAUAAUAAUAUAUAGUGUUGAGCACCAUGUUUAAGUAGAGAAUUGCAGCGGGAAUAGAGAGGUUACACCAUUGCAUAGAGGGGGAGAAAGUUGGUGUUGACGGUAGCAAGGUUGUUGAUGUAGAUCGCCGUCACGAUCCUUGCUCCGGCGGCACUCCGGCGACACCAGGAGAGAGGGGGGAGAGGUCACAUCCUUCUUCUUCUUCCUUGGCUUCCCCCCUAGAUGGGAGGAGGGUUCCCCCUCUGGUCCAUGGCCUCCAUGGCGGCAGAGGGGCGAGAGCCCCUCCAAGAUUGGAUCUCUCUCUCUCUCUCUCUCUCUGUGUGUGUGUGUGUGUGUGUGUGUUAAUUAUCUUCUGUUUUGCGCUCCCGUUUUCUGGCCGAAAACCAUUUCUUAUAUUCCCGGAGAUCCGUAACUCCAAUUGCGCUGAAAUUUAACAUGGUUUUUUCGGAUAUAAGCUUCCUUGCGCCCAAAGUAGAGCCUGCUAGUUCUUGAGCUUGCGUUGAUUUUUCCCUUGAAGAGGAAAGGGUAAUGCAGCAAAGUAGAGAUAAGUAUUUUCCUCAGUUAAGAACCAAGGUAUCAAUCCAGUAGGAGGCACAAGCAAGUCUCCAAUAUAUGCACCUGCACAAACUAACGAACACUUGCACACGCCGUGAAAAAGGGGUUGUUAAUUCCUUCACGGUCACGAACAAGAGUGAGAUCUAAUAGAGAUAGGUAUAAAAGAUAAAUAAAAGGGCAAACUAAAGUAACUAUAAAUAAAUUGCAGCAAGGUAUUUUUGGGUUUUUUGGUUUAUAUAUAUCUGAAAAUAUAUGACGGAAAAUAGACCCGGGGGCCAUUGUUUCACUAGAGGCUUCUCACUUGAAGAAAACAUACGGUGGGUAAACAAAUUACCGUUGAGAAAUUGAUAGAAAAGCGCAUAAUUAUGAAGACACCUAAGGCAAUGAUGAAUAUAGGCAUCACGUCCGUGACAAGUAGACCGAAACGUUUCUGCAACUACUACUAUUACUCCACACAUCGACCGACUCCUUCCUGCAUCUAGAGUAUUAAGUUCAUAAGAACAAAGCAACGCUUUAAGUAAGAUGACAUGAUGUAGAGGGAUAAACUCAAGCAAUAUGAUAUAAACCCCAUCUUUUUAUCCAUGAUGGCAACAAUACAAUUCGUGCCUCGCUACCCCUUCUGUCACUGGGUGAGGACACCGUAAGAUUGAACCCAAAACUAAGCACCUCUCCCAUUCCAAGAAAAACCAAUCUAGUUGGCGAAACCAAACCGAUAGUUCGAAGAGAAAUAAGAAUAUAUCUUAAUCAUGCAUAAAAGAGUUCAGAGAAGACUCAAAUAAUAUUCAUAGAUAAUCUGAUCAUAAAUCCAUAAUUCAUCGGAUCUCAACAAACGCACCGAAAAGAAGAUUACGUCGAAUAGAUCUCCAAGAAUAUCGACGAGAACAUUGUAUUGAAGAUCAAAGAGAGAGAAGAAGCCAUCUAGCUACUAGCUAUGGACCAGUAGGUUUGUGUUAAACUACUCACACAUCAUCAGAAGGGCAUCAAGGUCGGUGUAGAGGUCCUCCGUGAUCGAAUCCCCCUCCGACGGAGUGCCAGAAAAGGUCCCAAGAUGGGAUCUCACGGGAACAGAGGCUUGCGCUGGCGGAAAAAUAUUUUUGGUGUGCCAUAUGGCAUAGGGGGAUAUUUGAGGAUUUAUAGUGUUGAGAUUAGUGUUAGGAGGUCCUCGAGGAGCCCACAAGCCCUGGGGGCGCGCUCAUACGACUUGUGGCCUCCUCGUGGGUCUUCUGGCCUCUUCUCCAACUCUCGUGGGUUUCUUCUGGUCCAAGAAAAAUCACCGUAAAGUUUUGUCCCGUUUGGACUCUAUUUGAUAUUCCCUUUCUGUAAAAUUCAAAGACAAGGAAAAAACAGAAAUUGACAGUGGGCUCUAGGUUAAUAAGUUAGUCCCAAAAAUAAUGUAAAAUAGCAUAUUAAUGCAUAUAAAACAUCCAAAACAGAUAAUAUAAUAACAUGGAACAAUAAAAAAUUAUAGAUACGUUGGAGACGUAUCAAGAAUCCCCAAGCUUAAUCCCUGCUCAUCCUGGAGUAGGUAAAUGAUCAAAACGAAAUUUUUUAUAUGGAAUGCUACCUAACAUAUUUAUCAAUGUAAUUUUCUUUAUUGUGGCAUGAAUGUUCAGAUCCAUAAGAUUCGAAACAAAAGUUUAAUAUUGACAUAAAAAUGAUAAUACUUCAAGCAUAAUAAUAAAUCAAUCAUGUCUUCUCAAAGUAACAUGACCAAAGAAAGUUAUCCCUACAAAAUCAUAUACUUUUAAUGUUCUCAAGCUUUUUUCAACUUUCACGCAAUACAUGAGCGUGAGCCAUGGAUAUAGCACUAUAGGUGGAAUAGAAUAUGGUGGAGGUUGUGAGGAGAAGACAAAAAGGAGAAAGUCUCACAUCAACUAGGCAAAUUAAUGGGCUAUGGAGAUGCCCAUCAAUUGAUAUCGAUGCAAGUGAGUAGGGAUUGCUAUGCAACAGAUGCACCAGGGCUAUAAGUGUAUGAAAGAUCAAAAAGAAACUAAGAGGGUGUGUAUCCAACUUUCUUGCUCAUGAAGACGUAGGGCAAUUUGAGGAAGCCCAUCAUUGUAAUAUACAAGCCAAGUUAUAAAAUGGAAAAUUCCCACUAGUAUAUGAAAGUGACAAAAUAGGAGACUCUCUAUCAUGAAGAACAUGGUGCUACUUUGAAGCACAAGUGUGGAAAAAGGAUAGUAACAUUGUCCCUUCUCUCUUUUCUCUCAUUUUUUGUUUGGGCUCUUUGGCCUCUUUUUUCAUUCUAGGCUCUUUGGCCUCUUUUAUUUUUAAGUCCAGAGUCUCGUCCCAACUUGCGAGGGAAUCAUAGCUUCCAUCAUCCUUUCCUCACACGAGACAAUGCUCUAAUAAUGAUCAUCACACUUUUAUUUACUUACAACUCAAGAAUUACAACUCGAUACUAGAACAAAAUAUGACUCUAUAUGAAUGCUCUGGUAGUGUACCAGGAUGUGCAAUGAUCAAGCAUAGCAAAGAUAUCAGAAAAAUAGACACACCAUGGAAAUAUCAUGCUAGCUAUCUUACGAGCAUGCGAAGCAAUAUGACAAUGAAUGCUCAAGUCAUGUAUAUGAUGAUGAUGAUGGAAAUUGCAUGGCAAUAUAUCUCGGAAUGGCUAUGGAAAUGCCUUAAUAGGUAGGUAUGGUGGCUGUUUUGAGGAUGAUAUAAUGAGGCUUAUGUGUGAUAGAGCAUAUCAUAUCACGGGUUUUGGAUGCACCGACGAAGUUUGCACCAACUCUCGAGAUGAGAAAGGUCAAUGCACGGUACCGAAAAGGCUAGCAAAUUGUAGAAAGAUAAGAGUGCGUAUAAUCCAUGGACUCAACAUUAGUCAUAAAGAACUCACAUACUUACUACAAAAAAAUUAUUAGUCAUCGAAGCAAAGUACUAAUACGCAUGCUCCUAGGGGGGGGGGUAGAUUGGUAGGAAAAGGCCGUCACUCAUCCCUGACCGCCACUCAUAAGGAAGACAAUCAAAAAAUAAAUCAUGCUCAGACUUCAUCACAUAAUGGUUCACCAUACGUGCAUGCUACGGGAAUCACAAACUUUAACAUAAGUAUUUCUACCAAUCCAUAAUUACUCACCAGCAUGACUCUAAUAACACCAUCUUUAUAUCUCAAAACAAAUGCAAGGAAUCAAACUUCUCAUAUUAUUCAAUUCUCUUUAUAUGAAAGUUUUUAUUAUAUCCCUCUUGGAUGCCCAGCAUAUUAGGACUAACCUAAGAAAAUUACCAUGUUGUUUAAAUACUCUCAAAAUAAUAUAAGUGAAGCAUGAGAGUUCAUCAAUUUCUAUAAAAUAAAGCCACCACCGUGCUCUAAAAAGAUAUAAAUGCAGUACUAGAGCAACUACCUAGGUCAAAAGAUAUAAGUCAAGCACACAGAGUAUUCUAAUAAAUUCACGAUUAAUGUGUGUCCCUCUCAAAAGGUGUGUACAGCAAGGAUGAUGCUACUUCUUGAGCUUGCGUUGGUUUUUCCCUUGAAGAGGAAAGGGUGAUGCAACAAAGUAGAGAUAAGUAUUUCCCUCAGUUAGAGAACCAGGGUAUCAAUCCGGUAGGAGACAACGCACAAAUCACCAACACCUGCACAAACAAUCAAACACUUGCACCCAACGCGAUAAAGGGGUUGUCAAUCCCUUCACGGUCACUUGAAAAAGUGAGUUCUGAUAGAGAUAGAUAAAACUAAACAAAAGAUAAAGUAAAUAUUUUUGGGGUUUUUGGUUUAUAGAUCGGAAAGUAAAAGAUUGCAAAAUAGUAGAUCGGAAACUUAUAUGAUGGAAAAUAGACCCAGGGGCCAUAGGUUUCACUAGAGCCUUCUCUCAAGAUAGCAAAUAAUACGGCGGGUGAACAAAUUACUGUCGAGCAAUUGAUAGAAAAGCGGAAAGUUAUGACGAUAUCUAAGGCAAUGAUUAUGAAAUAUAGGCAUCACGUCCGUGUCAAGUAGAUCGACUCUUGCCUGCAUAUACUACUAUUACUCCACACAUCGACCGACUCCUGCCUGCAUCUAGAGUAUUAAGUUCAUGAAAAACAGAGUAACGCUUUAAGUAAGAUGACAUGAUGCAGAGGAAUAAACUCAAGCAAUAUGAUGUAAACCCCAUCUUUUUAUCCUCGAUGGCAACAAUACAAUACGUACCUCCCUACCCCUACUGUCACUGGGUGAGGACACCGCAAGAUUGAACCCAAAGCUAAGCACUUCUCCCAUUGCAAGAAAAACCAAUCUAGUUGGCCAAACUAAACCGAUAGUUCGAAGAGAAUCACAAAGAUAUCAAAUCAUGCGUAAAAGAAUUCGGAGAAGAUUCAAAUAAUAUUCAUGGAUAAUCUAAUCAUAAAUCCACAAUUCAUCGGAUCUCGACAAACACACUGCAAAAGAAGAUUACAUCAGAUAGAUCUCCAAGAACAUCGGGGAGAACAUGGUAUUGAGAAUCAAAGAGAGAGAAGAAGCCAUCUAGCUACUAGAUAUGGACCCAUAGGUCUGUGGUAAACUACUCAUGCUUCAUUGGAAGGGCAAUAGAGUUGAUGUAGAAGCCCUCCGUUAUCGAAUCCCCCUCGGGCAGGAUGCCGAAAAAGGCCCCAAGAUGGAUCUCACGGGAACAGAAGGUUGCGGCGGUGGAAAAGUGUUUUCGUGGAUGCUUCUGGUGGUUUGGGAAUAUAUGUGAAUAUAUAGGAGGCAGAACUAGGUUAGGGGAGUCAUGAGGGGCCCACAAGGUAGGGGGCGCGCCCUCCAACCUUGUUGCUGCCUCGUGGCUCUUCUGACUUGAACUCCAAGUCUCUUGGGUGCCUUCUGGUCCAAGAAAAACCAUCGUGAAUGUCUUAUUCCAUUUGGACUCCGUUUGGUAUUCCUUUUCUGCGAAGCUCAAAAACAAGGAAAUAACAAAAACUGGCACUAGGCUCCAGGUUAAUAAGUUAGUCCCAAAAAUAAUAUAAAAUAGCAUAUUAGUGCAUAUAAAACAUCCAAAAUAGAUAAUAUAAUAGCAUGGAACAAUCAAAAAUUAUAGAUACGUUGGAGACGUAUCAGAUGAUUGUGGCAAACUAAAAAGAAAAGACUCAUAUCAUACAAGACUCUCCAAGCAAAGCACAUAUCAUGUGGUGAAUAAAAAUAUAGCCACAAGUAAAUUUAUUGAUGGAUUAUAGACAAAAGAGGAGAUGCCAUACGGGGCAUCCCCAAGCUUAGAUGCUUGGUUGUCCUUGAAUAUUACCUUGGGGUGCCUUGGGCAUCCACAAGCUUAGGCUCUUGCCACUCCUUAUUCCGUUGUCCAUCAAAGCUUUACCCAAAACUUGUAAACUUCACAACACAAAACUCAACAGAAAACUCGUAAGAUCGCUAGUAUAAUAAAAUAAAUUACCACUUUAGGUACUGUUGUGAGCUCAUUCUAAAUUUAUAUUGGUGUUAUAUCUACUUUAUUCCAACUUCUCCAUGGUUCAUACCCCUCGAUACUACCCAUAGAUUCAUCAAAAUAAGCAAAGAACACAUAGAAAACAGAAUCUGUCAAAAAUAGAACAGCAUGUAGUAAUCUGGAAAUUUCGUAUACUUAUGUAACUCCAACAAUUCUGAAAAAUUAGGAAAACCUAGGAAAUUUGUAUAUCAAUCUUGUGUAAAACAUUCAGAUCAAAAGCACGUUUCUGUGAUUUUCUAAAAUUCUGGCAAUGAGGGCAAAAUUUCUGUUUUUCAGCAAGAUCAAAUCAACUAAUUAAAACACUAACUAAAACACCAAAACACAAUUACUACAGAGGUAAUAAUGUGUAUUUAUUGAAAAAUAGAACCAAAAACAAAAAACACAAAAGAAAAAUUGGGUUGCCUCCCAACAAACGCUAUUGUUUAACGCCCCUAGGUAGGCAUAUUGCAUAGAUCUAGGUAUUGUCAUCUUUGGUGUGCAAUCCAUAAGUGGCCCUCAUAAUAGAUUAAUAUGGCAACUUAAUUUUAUUUCUUGGAAAGUGUUCCAUGCCCUUCCUUAAUGGAAAUUGAAAUCUAAUGUUUCCUUUUUUCAUAUCAAUAAUUGCACCAAUCGUUCUAAGGAAAGGUCUACCAAGAAUAAUAGGACAUGUAGGAUUGCAAUCUAUAUCAAGCACAAUAAAAUAUACGGGCACAUAAUUCCUAUUUGCAACAAUAAGAACAUCACUCCUUCCCAUAGGUUUCUUAAUAGUGGAAUCCGCUAGAUGCAAAUUCAAAGAACAAUCAUCAAAUUUAUCGAAACCUAGCACAUCACAUAAAGUUUUCAGAAUAGUGGAAACACUAGCAUCCGAAUCACACAAAGCAUUGAACUCAUAAUCUUUAAUUUUAAUAUUAAUAGUAGGUUCUCACUCAUCAUAAAACUUUCUAGGGAUAGAAACUUACAACUCAGGUUUUUAUUCAAAAGAUUUCAUCAUAGCAUCAACGAUAUGUUUAGUAAAAGCUUUGUUUUGAUUAUAGGCAUGAGGUGAAUUAAGCAUGAAUUGCAACAAGGAAAUACAAACUAUUAAAGAGCAAUUAUCAUAAUCAUAGUCCUUGAAAUCCAAAAGAGUGGGUUCAUCGCUACUUAAAGUUUUGACCUCGCUAAUCCCACUUUUAUCAAAAAAAAUAUUAAGAUCUUCACCCUCCAAAUUAUUGGGACGCCUUCUAGCUAAAGUUGACUCAUCUCCAGUCCCAUAUUUAUAAAGAUCUAUAUUAGCAAACAAAUAUUCAAUAGGAGUCAACCUGACAAUGGGGAUUACCCGGGUGAGUAUUGGACUCCCAUCCCCAUCCCCGCGACAGCCUUCCCAAGCCCGUCCCCAUCCCCAUACCCGUCUGCGGGGAUAAAAAUAUCCCAUCCCCAUCCCCGUCGGGUUUUUUGUCCCCAUGGGGAGACCUUUACAUGCAAUCAAUAACAACCUUGGAUAGCAUCUCAAUAGAAAAAAAAACAUUUCAGCAUAAUAAAAAAUAUGUUGUGGCUAGGUUAGGGUUUUCUUAGGGCUUUUGGCCAAAGGGCUAGGAUGGAAGGAAAUUUCGGUGGGUAAGGGCGGCAAUUACAUGGGGUCUACUAAUUUUAGAGACCACAUGUAAGGCCUUAAUGGGUAAGGAGGGUAAUGGGCACGGGUAAUGUUAUCCCAUCCCCAUUCCUAUCUUGCGCGCUGGGUAAGGUAUUUGACCCACUAGCUUCCCCAUGGGCAUGAAAGCUGACACAUACCCGUCCCAUUAUAGAGUACUUACCCACGGGGACACAGGUAACAGUUAACCAUUUCCAGCUUGAAAUAGGAGUCACACAUUGAGUGAUUUAUAUUAUAACUUGUUCUGGAAUUUAUAUUAAAGUUAAACACAUUGAGGUAGCUAUUAAUGUAUCUACGAGAUGAGAAAUAAGUAUAGGUAUGCAUAUUCAAUUUUUAUUGCAUUACUAAUUUUGUGCAGGUGUUGGGAAACGUUAGAUGGAAAACAAAAAAAUUUCUACGCACGCGUAAUGAUCUAUCCAUGGAGAUGCAUAGCAACGAGGGGAGAGUGUGUCUACGUACCCUUGUAGACCGUAAGCGGAAGUGUUUCACAAUUAAUGCGAUGAUGUAGUCGAACUUUCUUCGCGCUCCACUGAUCGAGUACCGAACGUACGCACCUCCGAGUUUUGCACACGUUCAGCUCGGUGACGUCCCUCGCCUUCUUUAUCUAGCAAGGUGUCGAGGUUGUAGAUGAGUUCUGUCAGCACGACGUCCUGGUGACAGUGAUGGUGAAGUGAUCCGCACAGGGCUUCGCCUAAGCACCGCGAGAAUAUGAUCGGGGGUGUAAACUAUGGAGGGGGCGCCGCACAUGGCUAACAAUUGAUGUCGUGUGUUCUAGGCGCCCCCUUCCCCACAUAUAUAUAGGUGGGAGGGGAGAAGAGGCAGCCAGGCCCCCCUUUCCUUUUUCCACUAGAGAAGAAAGGAAGGGGGCGAAUGUCGGUGUCAAAAACGGUAGAUCUCGGGUAGGGGAUCCCAAACUUUGCGUCUUAGGAUCGAAGGAAAUAGGAGACAGGGACAUGAUGUUUACCCAAGUUCAGGCCCUCUUAAUGGAGGUAAUACCCUAUGUCCUGCUUGAUUGGUUUUGAUGAUUAUAGGGGUUACAAGAGUUGAUCUACCUCGAGAUCGUAAUGACUAAACCGUAGAUGUCUAGCCUGUAUGAUUAUGAUUGCCUCUACGGACUAAACCCUCCGGUUUAUAUAGACACUGGAGGGGCCUAGGGUUGUAUAGAGUCAGUUUACAGAGGAAGGAAUCUUCAUAUCCGAACACCAAGCUUGCCAUCCACGCAAAGGAGAGUCUCAUCCAGACACGGGGGAAUGUCUUCUAUAUUGUAUCUUCGCGGCCCAUUAGUCCGGGCCAUGUUGCAUAGCCUAGAUGCUCGAGGACCCCCUAAUCCAAGACUACCUUAGUAGCCCCUGAACAAGGCUUCAAUGACGAUGUGUACGGCGCACUAAUUGUUUUCGGCAUUGCAAGGCGGGUUCCUCCUCUGAAUACUUUAAAGUAGUUGAUCAACAAGAACUAUGUCCGGAUCUCGUAUCUGUUUAACAGGUUAACCCUCCAAUCAUAAAGGCAUAAUACUUAAAAUAAGAUAUAUCCAUCGACAUCUUUUUUCGGCGAAACAUCACGCUUAGCUCUGCUACCAUUUCGAACCGUUAUUGGGCCUCUCGCCUCGCGUUUCAAUACGCAACUCCUGUCGACGCAUCUUGUCAUCAAUACGAGUGUUGGUAAUCUAAUCGUGCUGUUCUCACGACCCCUUGGGAAUGGGCGAGUUUUAAGGCUCGAGGGAGGGGACGCUUGAUAUUCGCAGUCCAUACAAGUGGAUAAAAUCCAACUCCUCCGUCCCACGCCUCAUUCUCUCUCUGCCUCCCCAUCCUCGAGCUCCAGUGCCCAAGUUCCAAGAUUUUCUCCCCUCCGCAACUCUUCGGACCAUGGUCGGCUCUCAAGGCAAGUGGAUGGCUUCCUCUGUCACGGAGGAGAACAUCUAGGAGCUGCGGGAGGCGCGGUAUCUGACCACGGAAAUCAAGCACAUGCUUCUCGAUCUGGCACAGGUCAUCCCCACUCCGGGGCCCGACGAGAGGGUGGUGUUCACCCCCCACUUCCUCCAUGGACUCGGAUUCGCCCUCCACUCCUUUGUGAGGGGUCUCAUGUUCUACUACGGGCUGGAUUUUCAUGAUCUGGCCCCAAAUUCAUUCCUCCACAUCUCGACGUUCAUCGUCAUGUGUGAUGCCUUCCUCCACGUCCCUCCACACUUCGGCUUAUGGCUCAAGAUUUUCAACGUGAAGCCGAAGGUGGUCGAUGGGCAACACACGGAUUGCGGUGGCGCCAUGGUGAGAAAGUUCCCCAAAGUCAAAUGGCCAAAGGGAGUCUUUAUGGACACCAUCAAGAUCUGGCAACAGGAAUGGCUCUAUAUCACAGAACCCUGCGGCCCUAAGUGGGCAGCUGCUCCAGCCUUUAGAUCUGGACCCUCGCCGAGGCUCACAUCCUAGACCGACAAGGGUCCAGACUGGGGGUUGGUCAAUGAGGUGCUGCUGCUGCAGAAAUGCGUCCAAGGCAUGAUAGUGAAGGACAUUACCCUCGCUGACAUGAUCCAAGUGAUGCUAAUCUGUCGAGUACUUACCUGCCAGCGGCGCCCCCCAAGAUGUGGGAGUUCAAUCUGGAAGGGCCGCGGACCCUACAACGGUUCUACGGCACAACAUAUAAGGGGAUCUGGAAGCUGCUUUUUAAGAAGCAGAAGUCAUGGCCAAAGUCAUCGGACGACACCGGCCUCGACAGCAACCAUCUGGCCUAUGAGGUAAAUUCUAAAACCUCCGAACACUCAUUUGUUCGUCCAUCCAAAGGAGAAGUAUUUAGUAGUCCAUUCCCAAACCUUAGCUGGAUCAAGAAGGCGGAGCAGAUCCGGUGUCCGGCUCUGCUCCUCAAAAACCCAGCUGAUCCUCUACUAAUGAGGAUGCUGGUCCCGGCGCCAAGAAGAAGAGGAAAGAGGAGGACACUUCGGACGCAGUGUCCGAAGAAGCUGAUGCCUAGUCCUCUCACGAGGGCAACGACAACGACGACGAGGAGGAGGAAGAAGAAGAUCCUCCCCGCAAGGGCAAGCAGAGGGUGGCCUCCGAGGACCUAGAGGCCGAAGCAUCCAAGAGGGACUAGAUUACCCUCUCUGAUGACUAGGAGUCAGACACCGAGGCCAUCCAGAAGCACCGUUGCCGGACCAAGCCCCAAGACGACUCGUAAGUAGUCCGGGAUUUUUCACAUACAUACAAUCUCUAUGAACUGUGAUGAUAACUCUAAGUUUUAUUUUUAGUCCAGCCUGCGAUCUCCACCAGCUAUCAUCAUCCUCGGGGGAUAUGCCGCUGGAGAUGAUGGAGAGCGAGUCGCCUCCACUAGCUUCCCCGUUGUCUAGGGUGGAUGACGCCGAGGUGUCAUCCCAUAGGCCCUCCCUGCCCAGGCCUUGAAGAGACGCGGGGGGGGGGGGCGACUUAACAGCGCCGUAGGGCAAUACCUCGGCUGCCGAAGGACUGGGGGUACGGUCCCCUUGGAGACCGGCGACGGGAGCCCCGGUCAAUCCAACCCCCAGCCGCAUACUACUCUGGAGACCCACACAACUCUGGAGUCUAGUUAGCAACCCCCUGCAGGAGAGGGGGGAGCGGCGAUCUCUGCUAAUCCGGAGGCACCAAAUACCACGGCAGACGCACUGCAAAGUGCAUCCGUCGUGGAUGAGCACCGCAUCCUGAUGGUUACGGUGGCUAAGAAGAUUCAGUUAGCCAAGAGCGGGCUGAACGAAGCCUUCUCCAGCCUGCUAGCAGGCUUCGAGGUACGCAAUGUAAUGUUUUUGAUCAUUUUUAUGAGAAAUAUGCCUGUUUAUAGAUAGUAGCCCCUGAGACUCUGUUCGGUCCUUUGAAAGAAAAGUGAGCAGAGGAUCAAUAAUUAGUUGGCAGGUGGUAACAUACUAUUUCAUUUGAACUAAAACAAGCUUCUCUAUUAGCGACGACUGCCCAGGCAGCGGAAGUUUCCGAACUCAAACAGAAACUAGCGCGGCCGAUGAGGAUCUAGUCCUUGUUAACACGUGGCUCGACCAGGCGCAAGGUAUAAGAUACAUCCUACUUUAUGCCUGUUUGUGUCCGUUUUCUGUGGAAGCUCAAGAGCUACAAUAUGCGUGUUUCUACAGAUGGUGCCGCCGCGGUUGAGACCCUCAGGGGUGAGCUUGCCCAAGCCAAGGAGGAGGCGAAGGUAAGCAAGGCGGCCAUUGAUAAAGCAACUGCGAACUUAACGGCCGAACAGGCCGCUCGGCGCCGUUUUGAGGAACAGGUGACCGAGGUGCAGCAGGAGCUCAAGGACACCGCUCGCAAGUGCGAGUCCUUAGAAGAGGAAAAUAAGGCGAAGGGGACCAAACUAGCCAAGGCCCUUCAAGACGCCAAGGAGGCAUGGACCGUAUCCCGCGCAGUGCACGAGGAAAUCCGUCAAGCCGGACAAAUAGGGGCUGGUAACCCCUUUACUUUACAGGCUAAAUUUGGGGAUCGGAGGUAUGCCUUGCUUAAUCGACUAUGGAGUUCUCCAGAUGCAUAUGCGGAUCUGCCGAAGAGUGCUACGGACGCCACCCAAUUCUUCCGGGCCCAGGAGGGGUACGCGACGGAGAAGCUCUUCUGGUCACAGUUUGCGGGGCAGGAGUGUCCCACACUGCUAAAUGACCAGAUGGCACAGUGGGCGGAGCUGCAUAAGAUGUCCAGCGCGGCCAUGGAGGACCUCGUAGUCCGGUUGUGGCUGACCAAAGCCAUUCCGGACAGCUACUUUUGCCGUGUGUGGCAUCUUGUCGAUGCGCUGCCCCGAAUCGACGCCGUCAAGAGGUGGUCCUGCAUAGAAGGAGCAUGAAUGGCCUUCACCCGUGUCAAGAUGCACUGGGCGAAGAUGAAGGCUGAAAAGGUGGCAGUUGAGGGUCCGCCCGAUAGCAAGGACCAUCGCACACCGGAGGGCUAUUUUGAUGAUGUAUUAAAAGGUUCCCGCCUUGUAGAAGGUCAAUGCUCAAAGGAUGUAGUGUUCGAGUGAACGAGUCCAAACUAUUCGGGAGUUUCUAUUAUGAACUAAGGCUUUUGUAAUAUAUUCAUGCCUUUAUGAAGAGUUUUAUCCUCCUGUGCGGCCGUUUUUAUAUCUGAGAGUUCCCAGUCGUCGGCUUCAACCCCCAUGUAGAUACUACUGGGACGACUUCAACCCCCAUGUAGAUACUACUGGGGUGUUCGGAAUUGCACAUACACUUAACCCAACGUCUUGGUCCAUGAAGGAGGUGUCAGUGCGGUGAACCAGGCAAUCAGGCUAUGCGGUUCUAUUGCUCUCACUUAGCCAUAGGAGUUUGAUGAUGGGUCUACACAGUAGCUCCUGGUAUGUACGCGGCUAUCUCAAUUCGGAUGCGUUGCAUAUGUGACCGGAAAACAAUCCUUCGUGUAAUACGAAAAAAUCGCUAAAGAUUUUAAUAAGUCGCCGAGUGGCUGGCCAGCUCUCACUGCAUCAUGACAGUCAGUUUUUGGCUUUCUCUACUGAGGUGCUUAACCGGACGAACCAAAAACACAAUCGCAGUAGUUCUCCCUUUACUACCCUAGCCGAUCGGACGGAACGUAAGGUGGCAAACACAGGAGCCGGGCAACCCAACUACUAACCAAAGACAUGAUUCGGAGCCGAUGCAUAUAGUGCCGAGCUCGGGACGCUGAAUUGUGUUAUAAAGUUGUUCGGACUUUUUGUUUGGCAACACAUGUGUUGCUAUAUAGAGCCCCUCGCAAUUCGUGCCGAGGUCUGUGCGUGAGACAACUGAAGAGACGGAAUAAAGUCUAUAAGUAAAGAUUAUACCAAAGAAGAAUUUGGUUCACUGCAAUCUGAUUGAUACGUCAAAACGUAAUCUUACAAAGGGUAUCAUAAUUACCAAUGCCAUUUUACAUGCCGGGGGUCUAAGGCUAAGGGGAAAAUCUCUAUAAAGGUUCUUGAGUGAAGUUGUGGUCUACAAAAUCCUUUGCACCUUCCCGCCGCACAUCUUCACCGCUUUCUCCUGAGUAAGAAAGAUUCCUUGAGAGGAAUGGUCUUCGACUAUUUGUAUGAAACUGGGCUCGGAGAGAGUCCUUGCGAGUCCUUAGGAUGAGUAGGUUUUAAUUCGCCUAUGGUAAAAGAUAGGAAAUAAGUAAAAAAGAGGGGAAGGCCAUAUAUGGUCGAACUGUACUAUAGGCAUGUCCAUGUGUUUGCCUCCGCUGAUGCCCAAGGUACUUCGAGUGCAUAAUUGUGCACGCGCAGUAUGAAAAUUUUGUUGAUGUACGUGGCGAUCGACGGAGGCGAAACUGCUAAUCUAGCACUAGGAUUGCCGGGCUGCCAGCAUGCAGAACUGACCGGUCUUGCGUAAUAAAGUCCAGUGUAAGGCUUGACAGGGCCGCUUUGUACUUCAUCCGUGAUGGCUGCGGUAUGCUCCUCAGUAAGGAGGGAGCGUUCCAUGUUUCCGUUGAUUGUAAUGAUGCCACGUGGACCAGGCAUCUUAAGCUUUAGAUAGGCGUAGUGCAGGACCACGUCAAAGCGGACGAAAGUGGUUCGUCCGAGCAGUGCAUGAUAGCCACUGUGGAACGGGACGAUCUCGAAGAUCAAGUCUUUGCUUCGGAAGUUGUCCGGCGAACCGAAGACGACUUCCAACGUGAUCGAGCCCGUGCAGCGGGCCUCUACACCAGGUAUUACUCCUUUAAAGGUAGUUUUAGUGGGCUUGAUUCUUGACGGAUCGAUGCCCAUUUUGCGGACAGUGUCUUGAUAAAGUAGAUUGAGACUGCCACCGCCGUCCAUGAGGACUCGCGUGAGAUGGAAUCCGUCGAUGAUUUGAUUGAGGACCAGAGCUGCUGAACCUCCAUGACGGAUACUGGUUGGGUGGUCCUUUCGAUCGAAGGUGAUUGGGCAAGCCGACCAUGUGUUGAAUUUUGGGGCGACCGGCUCUAUGGCAUAGACGUCCCGUAAUGCACGCUUGCGCUCCCUCUUAGGGAUAUGUGUGACAUAUAUCAUAUUCAUUAUUUUUACCUCGAAGGGAGAUUGCUUCCGUCCCCCUGUGUUCGGUUGACGGGGCUCUUGGUCAUCGUCGUCGCUGGGCGACCCUUUCCCCUUGUGUUCGGUGUUGAGUUUGCCAGCCUGUUUAAAGACCCAACAAUUUCUGUUGGUAUGAUUGGCGGGUUUAUCGGGGGUGCCAUGAAUCUGGCAAGGCCGAUCAAGUAUUCUGUCUAAACUGGAUGGGCCAUCUCUAUUUGCCUUGAAUGGCUUCUUCCAUUGACCGGGUUUGGAGCCACUGAAUCCGGCGUUGACCGCCAUGUCUUGGGUUCCUUCGUUAUUGUUUUGACGCUUGUGCUUGUUGCAUCGUGGCUUGCCAUUGCCUUCCCUGGAUUCGGAGGUGCCAGGGUAGCUGGUGCUAUUGCUUCUACGAGCAAGCCAGCUAUCCUCUCCCGCGCAAAAGCGGGUCAUAAGUGCGGUAAGGGCUGCCAUGGACUUCGGCUUUUCUUGGCUAAGGUGUCGGGCGAGUCACUCAUCUCAGGCGCUAUGUUUGAAGGCCGCGAGGGCUUCAGCGUCCGGACAAUCCACAAUCUGGUUCUUUUUGAUUAAGAACCUGGUCCAGAGCUGCCGGGCUAAUUCUCCGGGUUGCUGGAUUAUGUGACUAAGAUCAUCGACGUCUGGGGGCCGAACAUAGGUACCUUGGAAUUUGUCUCUGAAUGCAUCCUCCAAGUCUUCCCAGCUACCAAUAGAGUUUUCUGGUAGGCUAUUCAGACAGUGUCGUGCUGGUCCCUUGAGUUUUAGGGGGAGGUACUUGAUAGCAUGUAGAUCAUCACCGCGUGCCAUGUUAACAUGGAGAAGAAAAUCUUCAAUCCAUAUUGUGGGAUCUGUUGUGCCAUCGUAUGAUUCGAUGUUCACGGGUUUAAACCCUUCUGGGAACUGGUGCUCCAUUACCUCAUCGGUGAAGCAUAGGGGGUGUGCGGUGCCUCUGUAUCGGGCAACAUCACAGCGCAGUUCGGAUGAAGUCUGUAUGCGGUUUUUGGCCCUGGUGAGGUUGUGUUUGUUGCGCCAGACCUGGUGGCCGUCUUCUUGCGCUUGGGCACGCCCCCUUGAUCCGUAGAUUGAUCUGGUUUGGCCGGCUCUAUUGUCCAGGUCAUGACGUAGGUCAUAAGUGUAUCCCGAGCUAUUGUUUCUCUGCUUUUACGGCGAGGUGGUGCGGGCUAGUGUUCGACUUGAGUUGUCGUUCUGUCUCGGCCACGUGGUGGUCGGUCAGGUCCAUCAGCCGCGUUACGCGCGCGUGGUAUGGGCUCUAGCGCCUCAUCAUCGAAUUGGGAUAGCAGCUUAUGCUUCGGGUAACACUUUGUUGGGUGUUCAAGGUCAUAUUCUUCGGCUACCAGGACAUUAGUCCAUCUGUCGUUUAGCAGAUCUUGGUCAGCUUGAAGCAGCUGCUUCUUCUUCUUUAGGCUUCUUGCAGUGGCUAUUAGCUGGCGCUUAAAGCACUCUUGUUCAAGGGGUUCCUCUGGCAUGAUAAAAUCUUCGUCGCCGAGGCUCACGUUGUCCUCGGAGAGUGGUAGAUAGUUACUAUCCUCCGAGUCUUUGUUCUCUGCUUGCUCAUCAGGGUCAACUUGCCCGUCCUCCCGAUCAUCCCGUUCGGAUGUUGGUUCGAUGGGGUCUUCUUGGUCUUCGGCGUUCUCCGGAGUAUCGUUGUCUCCGGUGCCGGUAUUGCUGUCUUUUCCACGAUGCGAUUUAGGGCGGCACUGCUGACGUCGACGCUUUGGUGGUAUCUCAGGAGGUUCGUCCUCGAUUGGAUCCUUCUCAUCAUCGUUGUCGCCUUCUUUAGGUGUGUCCACCAUGUACACGUCGUAUGAGGAAGUGGCCGUCCAGCGUCCGGUGAACGGCGGGUUUUGGGCCUGCUCCUCUCCGGCAUUGUCGCCCAUACCGUUGAUGCCUUCGGAGGCGUAAUCGAGCAUGUCAGUUAGAUCCUCGAUAGUGGCUAUAAAGUGGGUGGUGGGUGGGAAGUAAAAUUCCCUAUUUUCAGCCCCUAGUCCGGGCUGGGCGCAAUUCGGAAGUGGUUCCUAUGUGAUGGCGAGGGAUCAUAUUAAGUCCAAAGCCUCAUUUAAGAGCGAGGUUUGGACAUGGAAAGGAGUUUCCUGGCCGAGCUCGCAUGACGCGGACUUCGAGGGUUCAAAGCUAGUGUCCAGAGAAGAGUCCGGUUUUGUGAUGACUACCGGAGAUUCUAUUCUCUCCGGUUCUCUAGUCUUGAGCUCUAUAGCUACAGCGAGUCUGGCAGGCUCUAGACUCCCGUCUUCGGACCCGGUGACGUGCUCCAGAUCUAAGGCCGGAGCGGUGGUUGGGGCCGCAAACCCUUGGAAGAUCAAGUCUCCUUGGAUAUCAGUGAUAUGUCUCCAACGUAUCUACAAUUUUUGAUUGUUCCAUGAUGUUUUAUUAUCAAGAUGGGAUGUUUUAUAAUCAUUUUAUAGUCAUUUUACAUCACUUUUUGGUACUAACCUAUUGACAUAGUGCCAAGUGCUAGUUCCUGUUUUUUCCAUGUUUUUUACAUCGCAGGAAAUCAAUAUCAAACGGAGUCCAAAUGGCAAGAAACUUUACAAUGGUUUUUUAUGGGCCAGAAGAAAGGCAAUGGGCCCAGGUUGCACCUGGGGGGUGCCCCGAGGGGGGCACAACCCACUAGGGCACGCCAGGAGGCCCUGGCGCGCCCAGGUGGGUUGUGCCCACCUCAGGGGCCCCCGGACCGCCUCUUUAACCUAUAAAUACCCAAAUAUUCCCCAAACCCUAGGGGAGUCGAUGAAAUAUUCAUCCAGCCACCGCAGAGUCUAGAAACACCAGAUCCAAUCUAAACACCAGCACAGAGGGGUUCACCACUUCCAUUGGAGCAUCUCCGAUGAUGCGUGAGUAAUUCUUUGUAGACCUUCGGGUCCGUAGUUAGUAGCUAGAUGGCUUCAUCUCUCUCUCUUGAUCCUCAAUACAAUGGUCUCUUGGAGAUCCAUAUGAUGUAACUCUUUUGCGAUGUGUUUGUUGGGAUCAAUGAACUUCGAGUUUAUGAUCAGAUCUAUGUUUUUAUAUCCAUGAAAGUAUUUGAGUUUCUUUGAUCUCUUUUAUGUGUGAUCUCUUAUAGCCUCGUAUUUCUUCUCCGAUAUUUGGGUUUUGUCUGGCCAGCUCGAUCUAUUUAUCUUGCAAUGGGAAGAGGUGCCCGGUAGUGGGUUCGAUCUUACGGUGCUUGAUCCCAGUGACAGAAACGGAACCGACACGUAUGUAUCAUUGCUACUAAGGAUAAAAGACGAGAUCUAUAUCUACCGCCAUAUAGAUAAACGUAUCUUGUCUACAUCAUGUCAUUGUUCUUAUUGCAUCACUCCAUUUUCCAUGAACUUAAUACACUAGAUGCAUGCUGGAUAGCGGUCGAUGUGUGGAGUAAUAGCUGUAGAUGCAGGCAGGAGUCGGUCUACUAAUCUUGGACGUGAUGCCCAUGUAAUGAUCAUUGCCUGGAUAUCGUCAUAAUUAUUUGAAGUUCUAUCAAUUGCCCAACAGUAAUUUGUUUACCCACCGUUUGUUAUUUUUCUUGAGAGAAGCCACUAGUGAAACCUACGGCCCCCGAGUCUUAUUUCUCAUAUAUUUGCCUUUGCGAUCUACUUUUUCCUUGCUUUUAUUUUCAGAUCUAUUAAACCAAAAAUCCAAAAAUACCUUGCUGCAAUUUAUUUUAUUUGGCGUUCUAUCUAUCAAUAUGUACAACCUUUCUACCAUCACGCACCAAUUUCUGGCGCCGUCGCCCGAAAGGGAUUGGCAACUCCUUUAACACGUCGGGUUGCAAGGUGUUGUUAUUUGUGUGCAGGGGCUGUUUACAUUGUGUUGCUUGGUUCUCCUACUGGUUCGAUUCCUUGGUUUCAUAACUGAGGGAAAUACUCUACCGUCGCUGUGCUACAUCAUCCCUCCCUCUCCGGGGAAAUACCAACGUAGUACCAGCUGCCAUCAAGGUGAAUUUUUGGCGCCGUUACCGGGGAGGAUCUUCAACAUAUACCAGGUUCCUAACAAAUCUCAUAUCCUUGCAAUUUACAUUAUUCGCCAUUUGCCUCUCAUUUUCCUCUCCCCCACUUCACAAAAAUUUGCCGUUUUAUUCGCCUCUCUUUUUCCGUUCGCUGUUUUCUCGUCGGAUUUAUCCUUUGCUUGCAAUCAUGAGUGAUUUCGGUAUGGCACCAACAGAUGAUGGCCCGAUUCCUAAGAUGGGAUGUACAUGCAAUCUGGAUGCUAAAAAAUUUAUCUUGGGGCAAGGGAGCGUUAUGGGAAAAGAACGUAUCCAAGAAUUCUUCAAAUGUGUUGGAAAUUUGAGUCUUCAUGAUGCUCCUAUACUUAAAACUACUAGAUCUUAUGCGGAUGCUAUUUCAGCACUAGUUCUGAAACUUGAAAGCAAAUUUAUCCACACUCAUCCUACUUUGCAAAGAUUGUUUUUGAGCUUCCCGAAAUAAAGAAUCCUAGAGCCAAAAAGUUGGCCACUCUCGUUCUUAUGAACGAGUUUGACUACAUAAUUCGGGAAGCUAGGGAAAUCUUUGAUUUUUAUGGUAUGAAUCGUGAAAAACCCGUGAUAGACGAAAUUCUUUACAAUAGUGACUAUGCACUAAGGCAUUUUCUUGGGGAUAAUAAGAUCUUUGAUGAGAAUCUUAAAAAGGAGGUCCCCGUUCUAGAUAUAAUCCAACAAGUUUUUAAUAAUGUUAAUCAAAACUAUUCUUGGAUUAUAGCGGGAAAUCAAAGGGGUUAUGAUGAAAAUCAACUAAGGAAUGCUAAAGUUUCUAUGGAUAAUAUGUUUUAUGUUGUGUUUGCAAAACCUCCUGAUAAAAAUACUCCCAAUAAAAUUAAGAAGAAGGAUGACAAAACUUAGAUCCUUGCUAUAUGCCUAGCUAAGGGCGUAAAACUAUAAUGCUUGUUGGGAGGCAACCCAAUGAAUAAAAUUAACUUUUUCUUUUUGCUUUCUGUUCUUGAGUGUUAGCACAAUUAUGCUACUGUUAUGAUUGUGUUUUUAUGUUUUAAUUAGUGUUGGUUCCAAGUAAAGCCUUUAGGGUCUUCUUGGCCAAUAGUUGUUUGAUCUUGCUGAAAAACCAGAAAGUUUGCACUCAUGAAAUUAAUUUUCAUAUUUUACUAGGGAGCGAUAAAAUACCCAUUCCAGUUGCAGUAGAUCAAUAUACAAAUUUCUCAGGUCGUCCUAAUUUUCAAAGUUUUUGGAGUUACAUAAGUAUUCGGAAUAGUCAGAUUGCUACAGACUGUUCUAUUUUGACAGAUUCUGUUUUCUUUGUGUUGUGUGCUUAUUUUGAUGGCUCUAUGGUUUUCUUUGAUGAGUUUUUGCCAUAGAAAAGUUGGAAUACAGUAGAUAUAAUACAGAAACAAAAUAUGAGUUGGUUUGAUACAUCACUUAUAGUAGUGGUUUAUUAUUCUUAUAUUAAUGGAUCUCACAAAGGCUUUGUUGAGUUUUGUGUGAUUGAAUUUUUCAAGUUUUGGGUUAUCUAACGAUGGAUGAAGGAAGGAUGUAAGAGCCUAAGCUUGGGGAUGCCAUGGCAUCCAAAGCUAUUAUACAAGAAUGAGCAACCAACUAAGCUUGGGGAUGCCCCCGAGUGGCAUCGCCUCUUUCUUCCAACAACUAUCGGUAUUUUACUCGAGACUAUAUUUUUAUUCGUCACAUGAUAUAUGUUUUUCUUGGAGCGUCUUGUAUGAUAUUGUAUUUGCUUAUUUUAUUUUGUGUUUUAAGUUAUCAAUCCUUGCUAGACACACCUAUUUGAGAGAGCCAAAAUUAUGUCAUGACUUGUUAGAAUUGCUCUCUAUGCUUCACUUAAAUCUUUUAUGAGCUAGGACUUGCUCUAGUGCUUCACUUAUAUCUUUUUGAGCAUGGUGUGCUUUGUUAUUUUUGAAGAAAUGCUCUCUUACUUCACUUAGAUUUGUUUGAGAGUUAGUAAAAUUUUGAGGAAAUUCUCUCUUGCUUCACUUAAAUUAUUUUGAGAGAAAGAAAAUUUGUUAUGCUCAUGAUCUUCACUUAUAUUUGGUUGAGCUUAUGAAAAGCAACUCAUGAAAAUAAGCCCCAAAGUGAUAGAUAAGAAGGAUAAAGUAAAAUAAAAUGUCAUGAAGAUCAUUGGACAAAAUAAACUUGAUUCUUAGUUAUAGUUUUGAGAUACAAUGAUGUGAUAUGUGAGUUAUGUUGAUGAGUAAUUGUGUUCUAGUAAGAAUAUUGGUGUUAAGGUUUGUGAUUCCCUAUGCAAGUACGAAAGUAAAUAGUCAUGCAAUGAAAAUUAUAUCCUACUUAUGGUGCAUUAUUCGGUGUUAUUAUGCUUAAUGCUUGCUUAUGAGAUUAUUCGUUUCUUGGUUGGUCGCUUCCCAAUCUUUUGCUAGCCUUCAUUUUGCACUAAGUAUGACCUCUACUUGUGCAUCCAAAAUCCUUUAAACCAGUUUUGCCACAUGAUCUACUAUAUCUACCUAUAUGCGGUAUUGUUUUGCCGUUCUAAGCAAAUUGGCAUGUGCCAUAUCUAAUUUUCAAAAUAAACUUCUCUUUUGUGUGUUUGUUUCGCUCGCGGAGCGGUGAGGGGUGGCUAAUAGUUUCCAUGCUAGAUGUGUUAUUCUCAAGAUGAGUGUUUAUUCACUUGUCAUUGCACGAGAGUAAGGCAAAGGUAUUAGGGAUGCCCAGUCCCAAAAUGCAAAAACAAAAAUGAAUUUACUUUAUGUUGUCAAAUAAUAAAUUCCUUGGAAAGUGUUGGUAUGGAGGGCACCCGUGGAUACGGUUAGCCAUGGAAAGUGAAAGUUAUGGUGGAAAAAGGAAUAAACUUUAUUUGCUGUUUGGGAACCGCUUAUGAUAUAUCUAUGCAUGAAAAGUAUUGGGAACUCUAAGUCGUUUUCAUUGGUGGGAUGGACACACCUCCCAAAAUGUUUUUAUCUCAAAUUUUUCGCUUUGAGCUCUGGCACCUCUACAAAUCCCUACUUCCCUCUGCGAAGGGACUAUAUUUUACUUUAUGCAAUUUUUUAUUUUGAAAUUUGAGUCUCCAUCUUCUCUUGUAUAAAGCACCAACUAGGAGGAAAUAUGACCAUCCUCAAGUAUUGGGUGUAGUUAAUAUUCGAGUGUGUUUCAUGAAUGGAUCAAUGUUUGAGCAUGAUGGGCUAGGGACAACUUAUUUUAGCAUUGAUAUUUUGAAAGACAUGGUUGUUUAUUGAUAUGCUUGAGUAUCUAAAUUAUUAUUUCAAAACUAGACUAUUGCUUUGAAUCACAUAAAAGUCCAAAUGUGCAUGCUAUAAAGAAAAGAAUAUGAUAUGACUUGAUGAACAACACUCCACAUCAAAAAAUUUGUUCUUUAUCACUUACCUACUCGAGGACGAGUAAGAGUUAAGCUUGGGGAUGCUGAUACGUCUCCAACGUAUCUAUAAUUUUUGAUUGUUCCAUGUUGUUUUAUUAUCAAUCUUGGAUGUUUUAUAAUCAUUUUACAUCAUUUUUUGGUACUAACCUAUUGACAUAGUGCCCAGUGCCAGUUCCUGUUUUUUACAUCGCAGGAAUUCAAUAUCAAACGGAGUCCAAAUGGCACGAAACUUUACGAUGAUUUUUUAUGGGCCAAAAGAAAGGAAAUGUGCCCUAGUUGCACCUGGGGUGCCCCGAGGGGGAACAACCCACCAGGGCACGCCCAGGUGGGUUGUGCCCACCUCGAGUGCCCCCGGACCGCCUCUUUGCUCUAUAAAUACCCAAAUAUUCCCAAAACCCUAGGGGAGUCAACGAAAUAUUCAUCCAGCCGCCGCAGAGUCCAGAAACACCAGAUCCAAUCUAAACACCAUCACGGAGGGGGUUCACCACUUCCAUUGGUGCCUCUCCGAUGAUGCGUGAGUAGUUCUUUGUAGACCUUCGGGUCCAUAGUUAGUAGCUAGAUGGCUUCAUCUCUCUCUCUCUCUCUCUCUCUCUCUCUCUCUCUUUCUUUCUCUCUCUCUCUCUCUUGAUCCUCAAUACAAUGGUCUCUUGGAGAUCCAUAUGAUGUAACUCUUUUGCGGUGUGUUUGUUGGGAUUGAUGAACUUUGAGUUUAUGAUCAGAUCUAUGUUUUUAUAUCCAUGAAUGUAUUUGAGUUUCUUUGAUCUAUUUUAUGCAUGAUCUCUUAUAGCCUCGUAUUUAUUCUCCGAUAUUUGGGUUUUGUCUGGCCAACUUGAUCUAUUUAUCUUGCAAUGGGAAGAGGUGCCCGGUAGUGGGUUCGAUCUUACGGUGCUUGAUCCCAGUGACAGAAAGGGAACCGACACGUAUGUAUCAUUGCUACUAAGGAUAAAAAGAUGAGAUAUAUAUCUACCGCCAUAUAGAUAAACGGAUCUUGUCUACAUGAUGUCAUCGUUCUUAUUGCAUUACUCCAUUUUCCAUGAACUUAAUACACUAGAUGCAUGCUGGAUAGCGAUCGAUAUGUGGAGUAAUAGUAGUAGAUGCAUGCAGGAGUCGGAUUACUAAUCUUGGACGUGAUGCCUAUGUAAUGAUCAUUGCCUGGAUAUCAUCAUAAUUAUUUGAAGUUCUAUCAAUUGCCCAACAAUAAUUUUUUACCCACCAUUUGCUAUUUUUCUUGAGAGAAGCCACUAGUGAAACCUACGGUCCCGGGUCUUAUUUCUCAUAUAUUUGCCUUUGCGGUCUACUUUUUCCUUGCUUUUAUUUUCAGAUUUAUUAAACCAAAAAUCCAAAAAUACCUUGCUGCAAUUUAUUUUAUUUGGCAUUCGAUCUAUCAAUAUUUACUAACUUUCUACCGUCAUGCACUAAUUUCUGGCGCCGUUACCCGAAAGGGAUUGACAACCCCUUUAACACGUCGGGUUGCGAGGUGUUGUUAUUUGUGUGCAGGGGCUGUUUAUGUUGUGUUGCUUGGUUCGAUACCUUGGUUUCAUAACUGUGGGAAAUACUCUACCGUCGUUGUGCUACAUCAUUCCUCCCUCUCCGGGGAAAUACCGAUGUAGUUCCAGCUGCCAUCAAUCAACGACAUAGUUCAGAUUUCCAAAACUGAUCUGGUGACCAGGGGCGUAGCUGUCGAUCUGCUCUAGGUGGCCAACCGAGUUGGCACGCAGUGCGAAGCCGCCGAACACAAAGACCUGGCCGGGGAGAAAAAUUUCCUUCACGGCAACAUUGUUGUAAAUGAUCGAUGGAGCCAUCGAGCCUUUCGAUGAUGACACAGUGGAACUCUUAAUGAAAGCACCAAUGUCGGUGUCAAAACCGGCAGAUCUCGGGUAGGGAGUCCCGAACUGUGCAUCUUAGGAUCGAAGGUAACAGGAGACAAGGACACAAUGUUUACCCAGGUUCGGGCCCUCUUAAUGGAGGUAAUACCCUACGUCCUGCUUGAUUGACUUUGAUGAGUGUAGGGGUUACAAGAGUUGAUCUACCUCAAGAUUGUAAUUGAUAAACCCUAGAUGUCUAGCCUAUAUGAUUAUGAUUGCCUCUAUGGACUAAACCCUUCGGUUUAUAUAAACACCGGAGGGGCCUAGGGUUGUACAGAGUCGGUUUACAGAGAAAGGAAUCUUCAUAUCCGAACGCCAAGCUUGCUAUCCACGCAAAGGAGAGUCCCAUCCGGACACGGGGAAAAGUAUUCUAUCUUCUAUCUUUGCGGCCCAUUAGUCUGGCCCACGUUGCACAGCCCGGAUGCCUGAGGACCCCCUAAUCCAGGACUCCCUCAGUGCAACCCCCCUUUUUCCUUCUCCAAUCCGGUCACAUGCCAAGGGGGGCACGCCACGCCUUGUGGGUCAGUGUGCCCCCCUCUUAUGGCCCAUAUAACCCCCUGGGGUUCUGGUAAUCCCUUCGGUACUCCGAUAAAUACCCGAUACACUCCGGAACACUUUCGGUGUCCGAAUACUAUCGUCCUAUAUAUCAAUCUUUACCUCUUGACCAUUUCGAGACUCCUCGUCAUGUCCUUGAUCAUCCGGGACUCCGAACAACAUCCAGUCACCAAAUCACAUAACUCAUAUAAUAUGAUAUCGCCAUCAAAUGUUAAGCGUGCGGACCCUAUGGGUCUGAGACCUAUGUAGACAUGACCGAGACAUAUCUCCGGUAAAUAACCAAUAGUGGAACCUGGAUGCUCAUAUUGGCUCCUACAUAUUCUACAAAGAUCUUUAUCGGUCAAACCGUUAUGACAACAUACGUAAUUCGCUUUGUCAUCAGUAUGUUACUUGCCUGAGAUUCGAUCAUCGGUAUCUUCAUACCUAGUUCAAUCUCAUUACCGGCAAAUCACUUUACUCGUUCCGUAAUACAUCAUCCCACAACUAACUCAUUAGUCACUUUGCUCGCAAUGCUUCUUAUGAUGUGUAUUACCGAUAGGGCCGAGAGAUACCUCUCCGAUACUCGGAGUGACAAAUCCUAAUCUCGAUCUAUGCCAACCCAACAAACACCUUCGAAGAUACCUAUAGGGCAUCUUUAUAAUCACCCAGUUACGUUGUGAUAUUUGAUAGCACACAAGGUAUUCCUCCAGUAUCCGGAAGUUGCAUAAUCUCAUAGUCGAAGGAAUAUGUAUUUGACAUGAAGAAAGCAACAGCAAUAAAACUGAAUGGUCAUUAUGCUAAGCUAAUGGAUGGGUCUUGUCCAUCACAUCAUUCCCCUAAUGAUGAGAUCCCGUUUAUCAAAUGACAACUCAUGUCCAUGGUUAGGAAACCUUAACCAUCUUUGAUCAAUGAGCUAGUCUAGUAGAGGCUCGCUAGGGACACGAUGUUUGUUUACGUAUUCACACAUGUAUUAAGGUUUCCAAUCACUACAAUUCUAGCAUGAAUAAUAAACCUUUAUCAUGAAUAAGGAAAUAGAAAACAACAACUUUAUUAUUGCCUCUAGGGCAUAUUUCCUUCAGUCUCCCACUUGCACUAGAGUCAAUAAUCUAGUUCACAUCGCCAUGUGAUUUAACACAAAUAGUUCACAUCGUCAUGUGAUUAACACCCACAGUUCACAUUGCCAUGUGACCAACACCCAAAUGGUUUACUAGAGUCAAUAAUCUAGUUCACAUCGCCAUGUGAUUAACACCCAAAGAGUACUAGGUGUGAUCAUGUUUUGCUUGUGAGUAAAGUUUAGUUAAUGGGUCUGUCACAUUCAGAUCCGUAUGUAUUUUGCAAAUUUCUAUGUCUACAAUGCUCUGCGUGGAGCUACUCUAGCUAAUUGCUCCCACUUUCAAUAUGUAUCCAGAUCGAGACUCAAAGUCAUCCAGAUCAGUGUCAAAUCUUGCAUCGACGUAACUCUUUACGACAAACUCUUUAUCACCUCCAUAAUCGAAAAAUAUUUCCUUAGUCCUCUAAGGAUAAUUUUGACCGCUGUCUAGUGAUCUACUCCUGGAUCACUAUUGUACCCCCUUGCCAAACUAAUGGCAAGGUACACAAUAGGUCUGGUACAUAGCAUGUCAUACUUUAUAUAACCUAUGGCUGAGGCAUAGGGAAUGACUUUCAUUUGACAAUAGGUGAGCUAGAGUGACGGCGGGCGACGGCGAGGGCGCGGGCGAUGAUAGGCGCGGGCGACGAUGACGGCGAUGGCGGCGGCGGUGGACGGCGGCGGGGGCAGGGGCGGCACGACGAUGGGUGCGGGCGACGGCGAUGAGGAGCAGGGCAGCGUCGGGCGUCGGGGAGAAACUGCUGAAAAUUUGCAAAGUGUUGCUUAUAUAGCCAGCUCUUUGGUCCCGGUUCGUGGCACCAACCGGGACUAAUGCCAACCUUUAGUCCUGGUUGGUGCCACCAACCGGGACCAAAGGUCUCUGCUGCUNNNNNNNNNNNNNNNNNNNNNNNNNNNNNNNNNNNNNNNNNNNNNNNNNNNNNNNNNNNNNNNNNNNNNNNNNNNNNNNNNNNNNNNNNNNNNNNNNNNNNNNNNNNNNNNNNNNNNNNNNNNNNNNNNNNNNNNNNNNNNNNNNNNNNNNNNNNNNNNNNNNNNNNNNNNNNNNNNNNNNNNNNNNNNNNNNNNNNNNNNNNNNNNNNNNNNNNNNNNNNNNNNNNNNNNNNNNNNNNNNNNNNNNNNNNNNNNNNNNNNNNNNNNNNNNNNNNNNNNNNNNNNNNNNNNNNNNNNNNNNNNNNNNNNNNNNNNNNNNNNNNNNNNNNNNNNNNNNNNNNNNGGGUAUUGGUCCCGGUUGGUGCCACCAACCGGGACGAAAGGGGGUGCUGCUGCCACGGCCAAAACUUUAGUCCCACCUCGCUAGCUGAGAGGCUUCCACACCGGUUUAUAAGCGCGGCUCUGCCUCCCCUUUCGAACUCCUCUGAACUGCAAGCUUACGGGACUAAACACACUAUAUCUGCCUGUGGGCCCACUAGGCCUUCUGCGGGCCUGAAUCCUAGCCCAUGGGUGGGUUUCUAGUCGUAUUCAGGCCGUGGUGGCCCAGUAGGUGGCAUUUUUUUCUAGUUUUUUGUUUUGUUUUUUGCAUUAUUUAUUUUCUUUUGUUUUUUUCUUUAUUUCUUUAAUUAUUUUUGUUGUUAGGUCACAAAAAUUAUAGACUUUCUGUUAGUGCCAUUAAUUUUCAAAUUUGAAUAGUUUAAAUUUGAAUUCUUUUAAAUUAGUGUGAGUUGCUAGUUUGUGAAUAACUUUACUUAAAAAAUAGAUUUUCGAGUGAUUCUUUUUCCAGCUAUUUAAUAUUAUUGUGUUUUAUCAUUAUAUUAAAUUUGGUAAUUUUUAGGUUGUUUGAAAUCUCUGUUUUAAUCAAGAACAGAUUUUGUUAUUUUAGUUUUCUAUUAAAGUUUUUAACAACAAAAUUUCUUUAUGAAAAUUCUUUUUGCCAUUAAUGUUUUGAAAACAAAAUACUUUUAUAAUUUUAGUUUCAUAAAUUUUAUAUAAUUUUCGUUUAAAAAAAUACUAUAGGUUUAUAAAAGCUUUUUAGUUGAUUCCUUUUGCUAUUAGAGUUUUAUAAAAACUUUUUAGUUGAUUGUUUUUGCUAUUGAAGAAUAUUAUAGUUUUGUUUUAGUUGAUCAUAACAUAAUAUUUUAAUUGAUUAUUUUAAGUUCAUUAUUUUUGCUAUUAGUUCAUUCUUUUUGCAUUAAAUAACCCUGAAAUUAGUUCAUUAUUUUAAGUUUGUUAUUUUAUAUGGCUUUCAUUUUUUGAAAUUAUUUGAACUCCAGACUUUUUGUGUGUUCAAAUGCACCAUUCAAAGCCACAUCAUCAAUUUUCAACCCUUUGUGACUUCAUUUGUUAUUUUUUAUGAAUUUGCUGAUUUUUUUGCGCUAAAUGACCCUGAAAUUCAAAAGCAUUUCAAAUGAACUCUGAAAAGGUUGAAAGUUGGCAUGGUAUCAUCAUUUCUCCCACAUAGCAUGUGCAUAGAAGUUGAGAGGGUUACGGCAAAAACUAGAUGCACUUCGUGUACAAAACGGACAAUGUCUUUCGAAGUAUCAGGGUUUCGGACGAAAACUCAUGUGUUACAAAGGGAUUUCAUUUUUUGAACUCCAGACUUUUUGCGUGUUCAAAAUGCACCAUUCAAAGCCACAUCAUCAAUUUUCAACCCUUUAUGACUUCAUUUGUUAUUUUUCAUGCAUUUACUGAUUUUUUGAGCUAUAAGACCCUGAAAUUCAAAAGCAUUUCAAAUGAACUCUGAAAAUGUUGAAAGUUGGCAUGGUAUCAUCAUUUCACAUUAAAAACAAAGUACAUACAUAGUUCUCAUCACAUUAAAACAAAGUGACCAAAUUAAUAGAAGUUCAUCAUCACAUUAAAAACAAAGUACAUACAUAGUUCUCAUUGAACAACAUAUAGCUCUCCAGAGCAUCUAGUUAAACCAUACAUUGAAACUAUGUAAAACCUUUCAAUGCAACAACAAAUGAGAUCAUAAUCACAACCAAGGUAACAAUUGAUCCAACGGCAUAAUGAUACCAAGCCUCGGUAUGAAUGGCAUAUUUUCUAAUCUUUCUAAUCUUCAACCGCAUUGCGUCCAUCUUGAUCUUGCGAUCAUCGACGACAUCCGCAACAUGCAACUCCAAUAUCAUCUUCUCCUUCUCAAUUUUUUUUUAUUUUUUUCUUCAACUAAAUUUAACCUCUCGACAAUAGGGUCGGUUGGAAUUUCCUUGUAACUACCUCCUACAUAAAUAAAAUCUAUGUCACAUUGGUCGGCAUAAUUGUCAUAAACAAUAAAUGAACCAAAUAGUUAUAAAAAGAUAAUAUAUACCACAUCCGAAUCAUAGACAGGACGAGGGCUGACGGGGGGCGUAUACCAAAACCAUCGCACUAUAUAAUAACAAGAAAUAAUAAAAGUAAGAAAAUUAGACAAGUAUCUAUCUAAAGUAAGAAUUCCUUUCUUUCAGAAAGAAGAUGAGAACAAGAGGCUCACCACGGUGGUGCCUGCGACAAGUUCGGCGCGUGCGAUCGACGGUGGUGAAGACGGGGACAGGACGUGACAGACCGCUAAACCUAUGCAAAUCUCGGGAAAAAUGGAGCCUGGAGGUCGAGCUUCGAGAGGAGAAAACUUAACUAGUGUGG
rnacentral:lncRNA from 1 species